rnacentral:lncRNA from 1 species
AUCUUGUACAUAAUAUUAAAUUACUUUAUUAUUACUUCAAAUUUGAUAAGUAAUUUUAUAUUACAUAAUUGAUGAUGAACUAGACUGGAAUACUAUCAAUAGCACAAAGCUGUUGGUGCUAUUAGUUUUUUAAUCCUUGGAUUGAGAAAUGCGCGGUUAGGAUGAUGUGGGCCCCCUAGGGUUGAGUGGGUGGUUGGUUGAAUAGUAUAAUCUAACGGGUAAAAAUAAUCAAAGGUUUAAAUUUAAGUCUUUGGUGCUAUCAAUAGUAUCCUCAGCCGGACUUAUUGAUGAUAAAGCUUUAUAAUUGUUCAAUCAAUUAAUUCUUCACUCUCUCCCUUUAUAAAAAACUAAAAAAAUUUAGGAGCAUUUAACAAGAUUUAAUAAGAUAAAAAUACUAUUCUUUUAGAUUAGAUUAUACAAAUUUUACAGAAAUCAGUAUGAGAAUCUAACUAAAUGACUUACACAGAUUUCAUAAGUAGGUCUAAAUAAUUAUAUUAAAGAUAUUUUUUUUAACUAAAUAUCUUAGACAAUAAGUAUGCAUGUUGCUAAAUCCUAAUUAUGAAUUUUAUACAAAAGUUAUAAUUUAUUAGUGAGAACUGGAACAUUUAAAGGGACAAUUAUGAAAAAGACAAACUGAUAUUUGCUUUGCUGUUAGUGUAGAUUUUAACGGAAGUUACUUUAAACGGUAGUUUUGAAAGUUUGUUGUAUCUAGAAGGGCAUUUAGCAUAUUUUUAAUUUUUAUAAGGGUACCUUUGAAAAUAUAUGCUUUUUGGAGGGGCACACAGGAAAUUUUGCCAAUAAUAAAGAAGCUUCGUUCCUAUUACCUUCUUUCAAUACACCUCCAAACCCAUAUUUUUUGGGAGUUAGAACCUACUCGGAAGGUCACUCUUUCCUACGAAGUCCAACUAACAGAUAUUGGACUCCUCACUCUAUACUUCCCUUUGCUUGUGUCCUUCCAUAUCAAAUACCCCUCUCCAGUAGCGCUUCCUUGGACCGCCAUUCGCUUCGUCGACUUGAACCGAACCUGAAAGCUCUUACUCUCAGUUUCCUCUUUAAAAGUUAGUACCGCCGGAGUGACGCUCACCUUCACUCCACGUGGCGCAACCACUUGUGCAGCGUACGUGGAAUUUGGGGUGCCGACGUUGGUGAGUUUUCUUUGAAUCAUCACUCUCGUGCUGUUCUGUUUGAAGGCUAUGGAAAUCGAAGGGUAGUUCAGGCUGAAGUUGUUGUUUCGGUGAAGAGUUUCGUUGCAGUUGGUGUUUCUGUGAGCGAUGGUGAAGAUCUCCAAAUGUGAGUAUCCGAGAGUGCAGAGGUGAGUGAUGUAGUCGUUCGGCUCGAUGUCGUAGACUAGACCAGGGUCCAUCGCUUUCGUCGGAUUCACAUGACCAGCACCGAUCGCGAAGAGCCCUGCUCUGUCUCUCCCAUCCAUUAUCGGCUUCCCGUAGUGGUCCACCACGUCGGCCGUCGUCAUAAUUGCUGACCGGACUGCCGCCGGGCUCCAUGACGGGUGGGCUGACCGGACGAGAGCGGUGAUUCCGCUGACGGUGCCCUCGCCCGACCGACUGUCGUGCCGCCGUAGACCAACUGCCCGACCGGUCGCCUUGUCGAGUUGAUGUAUUUCUUCAAUUCUGUCGACUCUUUGAAGCCGAUCAUGGUAGCCGGCAACACGUGUACGUCGACGGAAUCCUCCUGUAAAUUGAUCUCCGCAUUGGCAAGAACCAUAGCAGCUCCGCCCGCUUCUUUCACAGCCUCGCCUUUCUCAGCCCGGCCGUUGAUCCCUCUAUCGCAGACCACCAUCUUUCCCGCCACUCUGGCUCUGGAAAGAGAGCCCUUAAGACAAUAUUCUGCGCCUUUGCUCCCGCCAGAUUCAUGAACCAACUCCAACGCCUUCUUCCCCCCAUUUUUUGAAUACCUGUUUCCCGGAUACAUGGACUCGCCGUACAGGAUCCGGCCAUUGCCAAGCCGGAGGAACAUGGGGAACCGCCGGUCCAUGGUGCUUGCCCCGACGGUUGUGACCCAGGGGGCCUCGUUGGCCACUGAGCUUGGCACGGGCCCGUUGUUCCCGGCAGCGCAUAUGACUGCCACACCCCGUUCUGUCGCGCGAAAGCUCCCUAUCGCGAUGCUAUCCUCGAAGAGCGGGAUUGGGAAGCCACCCAACGAGAGGGAGAGGAUGCCAACUCCAUCUUGGAUGGCGUCGUCCAUCCCAGCUAGUAUAUCGGAGCUGUAGCAGCCGUUGAACCAGCAGACUUUAUAGACGGCCACAUGGGCCUCAGGGGCCAUUCCCUGAGCCACGCCUGUGCCGAGCCCGAAAACGCUUGCCCCGUUCACUGUAGUGCCUGCGGCCGUCGAAGCUGUGUGGGUCCCGUGCCCGUGUGCGUCGCGGGGUGACAUGUACUCCAACAACGAGGAUGAGGAAGCCGGUGGGUUGGUUGGGUAGUUGGCACGGUGGCCUUUAGAGUAGAACCGCGCGCCAAUGAGCUUCCGAUUGCAGCUGGAGGAGUUGAAGUUCUCUCCGUCUUGGCAAACACCUUGCCACCGAGACGGGAGGGGCGGCAUCUGGUGGUCGGAGAAGCUGGGACUCUCAGGCCACACACCGGUGUCGAGCACACCAAUUAUGGAGCCCCGGCCAAGGCCCGAUUUGGCCCAUGCGCCGCCCGGGCUAAUGUUUAGCCCCAAAAACUUAUAGGAAUAGGUUGUAUGCAGCUCGAAGCGGCGGUCGGGGCGGAUCGACACGAUCCCUGGCGAUGCCUGUAGAGCUGCGGCCUCGUUUUCAGUAAGACGUGCUGCGAAGCCCUCCGCCGCAGUAUGGUACGAGUACAGCAGCCGAGAAGAAGCGGUUCCUGUGCCUCCUCCUCCUCCUCCUCCUCCUAUUGGCAGAAAAAUUCGAUUGUGAUUAAAAUCUAAUUAAUUUAUUAUAAAUAUAAAAUCAAACUUACAGAUAAAUAUAAAUAUUUUAAUAAAAAUUUGAUCUUAUUUGGAAGCGUGCGAGCCCUAAGAUAUAUUUCCGUCCUUAUAUGCGAAAUUAAUCGGAAAUAACACCUCAAGGUACAACCGAAAUUACUCCUCCUACGAACACGAUCGUAAAGGAGAUUGACAAAAAUUUUUUCAACACUCAGUGAAUAAAGAGAACGAAGAUUGUUUCAACACCCAAUGAAUAAAAAAAUAUUCAAAAAUAAAAAAUAAAAGAAUAAAAUGGAUAAAGAUUAAUCAAUUAUCUAAUAUCUUUUCUAUCUAUUCUUUCUUGAUAUAGGAUAAAAACAAAUGAAAGAGAAUUUUACACUCUUUCUCAUUACUAGAAAAAAACGGAACUCGCGCAACGGAACAAGAUUUAGUUUGGCGGAAAAAACGGGAUGAAAAAAAUAUCCGUUGAUUUCUUUCUCACUAAGAAAGAAAAUAAAAUAAGUAAAUAAAUAAAUUAAAUAAAUAAAUAAUAAAAAUAAUAAAUACUGAUAAAUAAGAAAUAAAUAAAUAAUUUAAAAUUCAAAUAGAAAUAAAAAUUUAAAUUUUAAAAUUUUGAGUAUUUCACCAACACCUCCUUCUUCUCCUUCUUCUUCUUCUUCUUCUGUGAGAAUGACUUGUUCGAGAAAGGAGAGGUGCCGAUGGAGCUUAGUUAAUGGGAAGUAAGCCCCGGGCAGUUCAUCUGGGCGGACGUGGACAAUAUAUGUUUGGAGGUUUUGGGCGCGUAGAUGGACCCAGUAUAGGAGGAAGAGAAAGAGUAAGAAGAUGACUAGUGGGUAAGCCAUGAGUGAACAGUAUUUUUGGAUGAGGUGCGGUGGGAGUACAUGGGGAGCUAGUGCGGCACGGCAUGGGAGUAUAUGAAGGGCGGAGGGGCGGGGAGGAGGGUUUGAAAUGGGGAGCCGUUGCAUUGCUGGGGGAGGGAUGAAACGCGUGACUGGGGGCGGGGGCGGGGGCGUGCCCUGAACUGAAGCCUUGAAGGACUCUCCUCCUCUCACGGUCACGGGGGAGGGGGUGGGGCGAGCACACGCCUGCGGCUGCCAACGAAAUGAAGACGAGCUGCGACCUGCGACUGGGACGUCUCACGAGAUGUUCUGCUGGUAUUUAUUGCUGGUCUUGGCUUGUUACUGUACGCACGCGCUGCAUUUCUUUCUUCUCGAGCUAUAGGCGGCACACUUCAAAUCAGUUUUUUUACCGUAUCGUAUCAAUAAAAUGUUAAUGUUAAUACGAUACAGUUUUUGUACGGAUGGUAUAACUUUAAAGUUAUUUUUUUUUUAAAUAGUAAAUAAUUUUUUUAAUAAAAUUUUAAAACAUUCUUAUGCCAAGCAUCAAUUUAAUAAAAUUUUUAGUUUAAUUCGCUGUAACAGUCAUCUCCUUCCAACAGUGCCUAUGAAAUAAACAUCAUUGAAACAGUCAGCCCUUGCGUAUGAGAGUAAUAGCUUUUGGUUGAGGAUGAGUGUAAAUACAGAGUCAAGCAUAAAAAGCAUCUGAAACGUUAAUCAAUCAUUCCUCUUAACGUAUUUCUUAAAUCUUUAUCCCUUCUGCUACUCACAAAUGAGCAACAUUUAUAACUGCAAGAUAUAGCAAAUUUCAUGUUUCAGCACUAAAACCAUAGGCUAUUACCCAAAGUCUGCGCCACCAUGAUAUGAUUAACACAUUGGAAAAUCUAAUGCGGGUUCACAAAAUUUAAUUGAAAAUCUAAAUCUGUGAGCUCACAAACUAUCUUGAAACAUUUUCCUUCCAUAAUAUACAUUCUCACUUGAAACAAUUAUAAGAAAUGACUUGUUUUUCUUAGUAUACAGCAGCAUGGCCCUUCAAAAUAAAACAAGAAAAGGGGUCCAUUUACACAUGAACGAAUGACCAGACAGAUUGAUCAAACCAAUCUGACAAACUCACUGCAUUUUUUCCCUCUCUAGAGUUCCAAAAUUGGCAUGCAGCUUCUUGACAAAACUCCACAUUGAGCUUCAAUUUAAUAACAAUAUAUCAUUCGUUCUCAAACUUUUAUUAAGGCUUGAUAAUUGUCACCAUAAGAAUCACUCCAUAAUAGAUGACUUGUCUGUUGGAGAAUCAACAGAUUGUCUAGCAGAAAGCACCUUGUCUAGGGUUUGGUCUGCAACUUUGAUUCCGCCAGUCUCCAUAUCUGCAACUAUUGCAAUAGCCGCAUCAACUUCCCCAAGAUCGAGGCACAGGAUGACGACUUCAUCAUAUAAUGGGCCGAAUCAAUCGUAAGACAAAGAAAGGGGAAAAGAAAAGGCCAAUCCAAAUCAAAUCGAAAACAUAAUGUUAGAGUGUUGUAUCAGUAAUCAAAACAACUCAGUAGGAUACGAAUCGAAACUACUCGGAGGGAUAUGAUUCCUACAGACUAGUUUUGUUCAAACAACCGUUCCAUCUCUAUUAAUCAUUAAGACAAGAAAAUUGUCAGAGCUUAUAAGAGCCUAUUUGGCCUGGCUGCAGGGUGCCAUGCUAUUUGAAAGUGCCGUUUGUGCACACUUCUGUUAGAAGCACGACAUUUGAAUCCCCCAACAACUUCCAGCCAGAGGAGAAGCAGAAGCCAUAUUUGAGCCAUUGCUUUUCGCCUCAAUAUCUCAUUUCUGCUUUAAAAAGCAAGCUCGACUCUUUUCUGACUGCCAAAUGCUCUAUUGAAAGUGAUUAUGGCACAAAGCAGAAGGAGAAGCUAGGCCAAAUGGCCACUCGUUGUCUGCAAUAUUGUUAGGAAAGUUGAAGGAAGAGGCGCCCUUAUGGCAGCACGCAGAAUUGUGGCACAGUCUCCAAUGGUUGGCAUCCCACCCAAUUCUAUCACCUGAUAAGUUGACCGAGCAUUGCUGUUCAGAUAUUUCCAUUCAAAACCAAACAUAUCCCUUCUGCUGAAUAACAUGAAGAAACAUGCUGAACAAACAUGGUCCAGAGCUUAAACCAAACUUCGUAAACCGAAACUCAAAAAUCUUAGUUUAAAGUUUCAAUUUAUGUGGGUGCCAAUCCAAACUACUGGCCAAAACUAAACCAAAGUGAGACACUUUGGUCCGGUUCCAAUGCAGAUUAAUUCUAUAGUAAUGUGGAUCUAAACGACUAAACAAACCAAAACUAUCUUAUAGGAACUAAUUGUGUAAUGCUAUCAAUCUUUACACAAUCAAAUGAUUGCCCUUAAUAGAUGAGAAUUAAAAGUAGCUUUUACUUUUACCACUAUGAUAUAUCAAAUUUCUGGAAAAUUAAGCUUAAUUAUGACAUACCAAUGCUUUUCGAAAAUUUGAAAACGUUUAACAGAUAUUCGCAACAGGAACCUUGAAACUGCGGAAACAUUAAUUUUUGGUAAAUAACUAAAAUAGAAACCUAUAGGAGUUUUUGAACCACAAAUUAAAGGAUACUAUUGAAUGGGUUCAGUACAAACUUGUCGCUGAAGUUUUAACUCCAACCAACUCUGGUUUCAGUUUCAGCGUGGAGCCUCAAUUGUAACACUUUAGGGUUGUUGAAGAUUUAACCCCAACUUCUAUUUCAUCCUCAGAGUUUAACUUGACCCCAGAGUUUUACCUUGAUUCCAUUCCACUACUGAAGUUUGAUUUUCAUGUCAACUUAGUCCUCAGAAUUUCAAUUUUACCAAACCAAAAUCUAAUGAUAGUGCUCCAAGGCACUACUUAGACAAUAAAAUAAAAGGGCAUAAUUGUUUUUCAGAACAAACUUUAGGGACUACAUUGUUAUGAGGACUAAGGGCCAGUUUGGCCUAACUUCUGAAAAAGUGAUUUCUGAAAAAGUAAUUUUUGUUUGGAGAAGUGAUUUUGCUUAAAAGCUAUAGAGCGUUUGACGGAGUUUAGAUAAAAGUGAUUUUUUCUGAAGUGAUUUUAAAAAGCUGUUUGGCAAAUUAAAAAUUUUGAAAAGCUGUUUGAAAAGCUAUUUAAUUUUAAAAAUAUAUUUAAAUUUUAAACUUUAAAAUUUAAAAUUUAAAUUUAAAAUUUUAAAUUUUAAAAUUUUAAAAUUUAAAAUUUAAAAUUUAAAAUUUAAAAUUUAAAAUUUAAAAUUAAAUUUAAAUUUAAAUAUUAAAACUAAAAUAAAAAUAAAAUUUUGAAGUUUAAAUCCAAAAUCAGAAUCAAUUUUCAAGAAGCAGCUUUUUUCUGCUUAUGAUUCUGAGGCCUUCAAAAUCAGUUUUCUGAUUCUAAAAAGCAGAAUCAGAUUUUUAAAGUGAGUUACCAAUCGCUCUAUUGAGCCGAAAAUCACUUUUCAGCCCAAAAGCGUUUUUUAAAAGCUAGGCCACACACCCCCUAAGUUGAAAUCAGGAUCAGGUGUGGGGACCAAACUUGUAUUCCUUGAAAGAGACUAAACAGGAACGGAAACAUGCCUUGUGCAUGAUUUUGAUUGCUAACUCAACCUCCCAUUCUUGUGACCAUUUCUGUGAGACCCCAGAUAGUCCUAUAUAUGAGAUAUAAUAGGGCUAAACUCUUAACCCAGCUUAAGCAUUUUGGGUGGUGGCAAGGCCCAAGAGGUUAAGAGAGUUAAGCGUGCUAGGACGGGAGUAGUCCUAGGAUGGGUGACCCCCUGGGAAGUNNNNNNNNNNNNNNNNNNNNNNNNNNNNNNNNNNNNNNNNNNNNNNNNNNNNNNNNNNNNNNNNNNNNNNNNNNNNNNNNNNNNNNNNNNNNNNNNNNNNNNNNNNNNNNNNNNNNNNNNNNNNNNNNNNNNNNNNNNNNNNNNNNNNNNNNNNNNNNNNNNNNNNNNNNNNNNNNNNNNNNNNNNNNNNNNNNNNNNNNNNNNNNNNNNNNNNNNNNNNNNNNNNNNNNNNNNNNNNNNNNNNNNNNNNNNNNNNNNNNNNNNNNNNNNNNNNNNNNNNNNNNNNNNNNNNNNNNNNNNNNNNNNNNNNNNNNNNNNNNNNNNNNNNNNNNNNNNNNNNNNNNNNNNNNNNNNNNNNNNNNNNNNNNNNNNNNNNNNNNNNNNNNNNNNNNNNNNNNNNNNNNNNNNNNNNNNNNNNNNNNNNNNNNNNNNNNNNNNNNNNNNNNNNNNNNNNNNNNNNNNNNNNNNNNNNNNNNNNNNNNNNNNNNNNNNNNNNNNNNNNNNNNNNNNNNNNNNNNNNNNNNNNNNNNNNNNNNNNNNNNNNNNNNNNNNNNNNNNNNNNNNNNNNNNNNNNNNNNNNNNNNNNNNNNNNNNNNNNNNNNNNNNNNNNNNNNNNNNNNNNNNNNNNNNNNNNNNNNNNNNNNNNNNNNNNNNNNNNNNNNNNNNNNNNNNNNNNNNNNNNNNNNNNNNNNNNNNNNNNNNNNNNNNNNNNNNNNNNNNNNNNNNNNNNNNNNNNNNNNNNNNNNNNNNNNNNNNNNNNNNNNNNNNNNNNNNNNNNNNNNNNNNNNNNNNNNNNNNNNNNNNNNNNNNNNNNNNNNNNNNNNNNNNNNNNNNNNNNNNNNNNNNNNNNNNNNNNNNNNNNNNNNNNNNNNNNNNNNNNNNNNNNNNNNNNNNNNNNNNNNNNNNNNNNNNNNNNNNNNNNNNNNNNNNNNNNNNNNNNNNNNNNNNNNNNNNNNNNNNNNNNNNNNNNNNNNNNNNNNNNNNNNNNNNNNNNNNNNNNNNNNNNNNNNNNNNNNNNNNNNNNNNNNNNNNNNNNNNNNNNNNNNNNNNNNNNNNNNNNNNNNNNNNNNNNNNNNNNNNNNNNNNNNNNNNNNNNNNNNNNNNNNNNNNNNNNNNNNNNNNNNNNNNNNNNNNNNNNNNNNNNNNNNNNNNNNNNNNNNNNNNNNNNNNNNNNNNNNNNNNNNNNNNNNNNNNNNNNNNNNNNNNNNNNNNNNNNNNNNNNNNNNNNNNNNNNNNNNNNNNNNNNNNNNNNNNNNNNNNNNNNNNNNNNNNNNNNNNNNNNNNNNNNNNNNNNNNNNNNNNNNNNNNNNNNNNNNNNNNNNNNNNNNNNNNNNNNNNNNNNNNNNNNNNNNNNNNNNNNNNNNNNNNNNNNNNNNNNNNNNNNNNNNNNNNNNNNNNNNNNNNNNNNNNNNNNNNNNNNNNNNNNNNNNNNNNNNNNNNNNNNNNNNNNNNNNNNNNNNNNNNNNNNNNNNNNNNNNNNNNNNNNNNNNNNNNNNNNNNNNNNNNNNNNNNNNNNNUUUUUUUUAAAAAAACAUAGAUUUAAAUUUUGACAUUAUUCAAAAAUUUUGAUGUAAUUUUUUAAUAUUUAAUAUUUAAUUUGAAUUUAAAUUAAUAUAUUAUAAAAAUAUGUUAAUAUACUAUUGAUUACGUUUUUAUAUCACCUGAACCAAACACCACAAUGAAAUUAUUUAUUCCGAUUCCGAUUCAAGUGAUGAACAAACAGAAUUAGAUAAUGAGUCAUUCCGAUUCCGAUUCCAGCUUAUUUUGAUUCGAUUCCGAUUCCGAUCUCCGACUUCGAACACAAACGCGCCCUGAAUGAUCUUCAACUCCAGGGAGCAAGGAACCUCAUCCACUGAUUUGUCACACACUAAUAUGUCACCCUUCGCACCUUAUGUCACCAAAACCCUGAAAAUCCUCCCAAGGAAAACUUUUCUCUCCUAAAUGAAUGAACUUACAUGAGCAAAUGCAGCAAUCAGAUACGAGGCCAAGGUGUGCUUUGUGUAGAGGCCUGUCUAUAAGCAAAAGCAGAUUGUUCUACAGGAUUAGCAUUAGGAAAAGGUGUUCAUAUCAGUCUUGAUUCCAAGCAUAUUAAGGGAAGAAAAAGCUGUGCAUUAACAUUUUUCCCCCAGUAGUAAUUAUGGACAAAUUUGACAGACAUCAAGUAUGUUAUCUGUUUUAGUCUUCACUAAUAAUUCUGAGAUUAUUCAUGCACAUAUACACAUAUGAAUAAUAGUUUCCAUUUUCAUACUAUUCCAAAGGAUUGAACUUCAUGUUUCCAUUUUUAUUCAUUGUAAAAAACAUAUUACGCACAUUUUGUACACAAGCUAUAUAAUUUGAUCCAUAUAAAACAGUCUUACCUCAUUAAACAUAUAAAACUAUAGAAAUUUUCUAGAAACAAUAUGCUAAAGCAUUGUAGAAAAGUAGGUUAUUAACAGGGACAGAAAUCAUUAUGUUAUCAUCUAAUAUAAUUGCUCUUAUUUAUAUUUAAAUACUUUGGCCAAACUUUCAUAGGACCUUUCGGUUAUUAAGGUCUUGUUUAGAUGUGGAAUAAGUUAUCAAGUGAUAACUUGUCCGGUACAAGGAUUUUCUAUUGUGAUUGGAAGCUAGGAGUUUUAAUUUUGACUUUGAAAGGACUUUGGAAGCUAGGAGUUUUAUUUUUUUUUUGACUUUGAAAGGACUUAGCAUCGAUAAUUUGGUAGUAUAGCAUAUUUUACUUAGCAUCGAUAAUUUGGUAGGAUAGCAUAUUUUACUUAUGAAGCGAUAUAUCUUAUUGUGAGACCCCAUAUAGUCCCAUAUAUAAGAUAUAAUACGGCAUACGGCUAGACCUAUUAACCCGGCUUAAACAUUUUGGAUGGUGGCUAGGUCCAAGAGAUUAAGAGAGUUAAGCGUGCUAGGAUGGGAGUAGUCCUAGAAUUGGUGACUCCUUGGGAAGUUGGGGCGUCACAAUUGGUAUCAGAGCCAAUUACCAGCCGGAAGUGUGAGAUGAAUUUCGGCUAAGCUAGGGUCGAAAUGACAAGACCAGCGAGACAAGUCUCACAUCUCUUGGUACUUGUGAAUCUGAGCCUGACGAGAACGUCAAGGCUUAAAGGAGGGGUGACUGUGAGACCCCAUAUAGUCCUAUAUAUAAAAUAUAAUAGAGCUAAAACUCUUAACCCUGCUUAAGCAUUUUGGGUGGUGACUAGGCCUAAGAGGUUAAGAGAGUUAAGCGUGCUAGAAGGGGAGUAAUUCUAGGAUGGGUGACCCCCUGGGAAGUUGGGGCGUCACACUUAUUCUCAUAAAAUGAUUUUGAGGCCUGAAUAUGGCAUGCCAUGCUAGACAUAGAUCACACUUCUCAUCUACCAAAUAAAUACAAGCUUUUGUGUUAAGAAGAUAUGCUGAACAAGCUUUGUUCACGCAUCCAAACAGGGCCUACAUGAAUUAGCAAUUGUACAUAUUUUGUACACUUCUUUUAACCCUUAAUGUAUUUCUAAGACGAUAUUUUGAUCUGCAUUCUGAAAAUGAAAUCCAAGUUAUUCUCGUAUAAUACAUAAAAUAUAUUUUGUUUCCAAUCCGUAUUACCAAUGCAUGUUAAAACAAACAUAAAAUGAUCAUAUAAAAGUUAGAAGUGUCGCGUGUAGUUAGUAAUCAUAGACCUCGACAGAUGCCCGAGCAGCCCUCUGUGAUUUUUUUGUAGUAUUUGUUUCCUCUGAAUCCUUCAAUAGUUGUAUGGCAAUCAUUUGAAGAGGCUUAGCUCGCUCAACUUCUUUGUCCUUACUAAUAUCACCAACUUCAACUUGACUUUCUGUUUGUUCCACAACUUCUUCCUCCUCAUCUGCCUCAUCUUCCUCUGCUUCUUUUGCCACAUCCUCUACCACAUCAUCAUCCAACAUAUUAGGAGUAUCUGGAUCGCCCGCAUCAAUGGUCCUAUCCUGAAUAUUUAAAGUUUCACCCAUAAAACGGCUUUUCCAAACUCCGUGUUCCCAUCUUCGAAGCUUAAUUCGAAAUAUUAGUUCAUCUAACUCUUCAUCAACCUACAAAUAGAACAACAAAGAAAAAAAUAUAGAGAGACUCAGUUCAGAACUUGCAAUAGUUAGCAGGUGUCAACUAAGACAUACUAGGACUUCUCAAGACAACAGUGUUCGCAAAAUUACUAAAUUAGCAGCACCUCUUAAUAUGGGGCGUUACAAAUGAUAGAAUUUGAUUGAAUGGCUCAAUGCCUCUCUUUUGGUUGUAUUCUUCUUCAAUAAAUAGAUCAAUAUACAGUGAUUGUUGGCUGAUUUCACUCCUUUUGAAAAUAUUAAACCAAAUUCGCCGACCGAACAGAUCCAUGUCACCGUCAUCAUCUUCGUCGCCGUCAUCUCCAACCUUAGCAGUUCAGUGUUUCCGAAAGAAGAGGGGAGGGGAAUCAAAGAUUUCCUGUUUCUUCGGACCCUUCGAUCCAUUUCAGGAACAUUGAAUCGAUCUAGAAAAGUCUCAAACCAGUUCAAAUCCAAAUCAAAUCAGAUCAAACGGGGAUUUCUGCGGACCCCGAAUUAAAAUCAAACGGGGAUUUCUUCGGACCCCAAAUCAAAUCAAGAUCAAACGAAAAUUUCUUCGGACCCCAAACCAAAUCAAGAUCAAAUAGGGAUUUCUUCGGACCCCAAAUCAAAUAAGAUCAAACGGGGAUUUCUUCGGACCCCAAAUUAAAAUCAAACGGGGAUUUCUUCGGACCCCAAAUCAUAAAUCGAACGGGGAUUUCUUCGGACCCCAAAUUAGAAUCAAACGGGAAUUUCUUCGGACCCCAAAUCAAGAUCAAACGGGGAUUUCUUCGGACCCCAAAUCAAAUUGCAAAACUAAAAAGUGAUUUCUUCGGGCCCCAAAUCAAAUUAGAAUCAAAAAGGGGAUUUCUUCGGACCCCAAAUCAAAUUGCAAAAUCAAACCGGGAUUUCUUCGGACCCCCAAAUCGAAUUGCAAAAUCAAAAGGGGAUUUCUUCGGACCCCAAAUCAAAUUGUAAAAUCAAAAGGGGAUUUCUUCGAACCCUAAAUCAAAUUGCAAAAUCAAAAGAAAAUUUCUUCGGACCCUAAAUCAAAUUGCCAAACCAAAUCAAGUUCACAUACGAACCCAAAACCAAAUCAAGUCCACAUACGAACCCAAGCCAAACCAAGUCCACAUAAAAACCCAAAUCAAAUCCAACCAAAAAUCCAAAACCAAAACCCAAACCCAAAUCAAAUCUUCUAGUCCACAAAUAAAACCCAAACCUAAAGCUAUAAAAACCCAAAACCCAAAUCAAAUCCAACCAAAAAUCCAAAACUAAAACCCAAAACCCAAAUCAAAUCCAACCAGAAAUUCGAAACCUAAACCCAAAUCCAACCAAAAAUUCGAAACCUAAACCCAAACCCAAACCAAAAAUCGAAACCCAAAACCCAAAUCCAGACCUAAAUCCGAUCAAGUCCACAAAUAAAGACCCAAACUCAAAUCCAAUCCAGUCCACAAAUAAAUCCAAACUCAAAUCCAAUCCGAACCACAAAUACAACCCGAACCCAACUUCCGACUUGGACUCAUGAACCCAAAUUCCUUGAAUCAUGAACCAAAUCAGAAACCCAAGUUCAUGAACCAAGUUCAUGAACUAUGAACUAAAGUUCAUGAACCAAACCCCGAAACCCAUAAACUAAGUUCAUAAACCAAAUAAACCAAGUUCAUGAACCAUGAACCAAGUCCAUAAACCAAAUCUAUGAACCAUAUCUAAUGAACCAUGAACCAAGUUCAUGAACCUUACCCAAGUUCGUGAACCAAACACCACGAACUAUACCCAAGUUCAUGAACCCAAUCCCAUAAACCAUACCCAAGUUCAUGAACCAAAUAUGAUGACCCAUAUAUCAAACCCUAUGAGUCAUGAACCAAGUUCAUGAACCAAAUGAACCAAGUCAUGAGCCAUAAACCAAUCCCAUACACCAAAACCCAUGAACCAUAUCCAAGUCCAUAAAUCAAACCCCAUACAUCAAACUCUAUAAACCAUACCUAAGUUCAUAAACCAAACCUCAUAAACCAUACACCAUACCCAUGAACCAAAUCCCAUGAGUAAUAUACCAAGUUCAUGAAUCAUAAACCAUACCCAUGAACUAUAAACCAAAUGAACCAUGAACCGUAUCCAAGUUCAUGAACCAAAUCCCAUACCCAUACCCAAGUCCAUGAACCAUGAACCAAAUCCAUACACCAAAUCCAUACACCAAAUCCAUGAACCAUAUCCAAGUUCAUGAACCAAAUCUCACAUACCCAACCUCAUGAACCAAAUCCCAUAAACUAUGAACCAAGUUCGUGAACCAAACACCACGAACCAUGCAUAAGUUCACGAACCAAAUCCCAUAAACCAUGAACCCAAGUCUAUAAACCAUGAACCCAAGUCUAUAAACCAAGUUCAUAAUCAAAUCUCAUGGACCAAAUCCCAUGGACCAUAUAUCAAACCCCAUGAACCAAAUCUCACAUACCCAACCUCAUAAACUAUAUCCAAGUUCAUGAACCAAAUCCCAUGAACCAUACACCAAGUUCAUGAAUCGUAAACCAAAUCAUAUGGACCAUAUACCAAACUCUAUGAACCAUGCAUCAAACCUUAUGAGCCACAUACCAAGCCAUAUCCAAAUCUCAUGAACCAUAUAUGAACUAGUUCAUGCCCAAAGUCCAUCAUAAAUCUUUUUUUUACUCCAGCACAUACACCUAGAGUAAAAAUUAAAUAUCGACUACCUCUAAUACAUAUACUUAGGGCUAAGUCAACUGCCUUAGCACAUAUAACUAAGGCAAAAUAUCUCCAAAUUGACAGAGUUCUAAAUUAUAUACUUAGAAUUCAGUCAAAUGAUAUCAAAUGUACUUAGAGUUCAUCCGACUAACCCUAAUACAUACCCUUAGGGUCUAGUCAACCUUUUACUCUAGUACAUUUACCUAGAGUGGAAGUCAAACCAAGCUCGACUAGUCUUAACCCAUAUACUUAGGGUCUAGUCAGCCUUUGCUCUAGCACACCUACCUAGAGUGAAAUCCAUACCUGAUCGAGCUCUAAUACAUAUACUUGGAGCUCAUACGAAUCAAAUCCGACGAACCCUAACGCAAUACCUUAGGGCUUAUUCAGAUCCUCACUCUAGCACAUAUAACUAGAGCGGAAAAUAUAUUAAACUCGGUUAAUCCUGAUACAUAUACUCAGGAAUUAACCACUCUCUACGUUCAGGUAAUUCGACCCACCUCAAUACAUAUACUUGGGGUCGGGUCACAUCUCCACCUUGGAAUAUACGACCAAGGUGAAUAUAAUCGAACUCUAAGACAUAUACUUAGAGCCAAUUAGACUCUAAUACAUAGAGUUUAAUAUCGACUAGGUCUUAACACAUAUACUUAGGACCUAGUCAAUCUCAAAUCCAACUAAAUCCUAAUACAUAUACUUAGGAUUCAAUAAACCAAGACACGAUUCAUCUCAUCCCAUCUAUAAAGGUCUCUUAAUCGAAGGUGCCCCAAUCUACAGGGGUAAUUAACAAUAGAUGUUUGCAUCUUUUGGAAGCCAUGGACUCGCUACCUGAUACCGAUAUACAUAUACAUACUCAUCUAAAUCAUGAAUACUACCCCACGGCCUAAAACCCAUCGACCGUGCGAGGUGCGUCAUUUGUGGUGGCAGACAAGAACGAUGAGUAUUGGGACAUGCCGCCCAAUCAGCAUCACUAAAAGCAACAAGAUACAUAGGAGAGCCAACAGAAAAAAAUAAGUCUCGACAAGGAGAGCCGCGAAGAUAUCGAAUGAUGCGGCGAACGGCCGCCAAGUGUAGAUGUCGUGGAGAGUGCAUAAAUUGACUAACCUACUGUACAGCAAAGGAGAUGUCAGGCCUAGUAAUAGUCAGGUAAUUCAGGCUACCCACUAGCUGUCGAUACAACAAAAGGUCAGGAAGUAUCUCGCCCUCGGCAGUGUGGUACUUAACAUUCACUUCUAGUGGUGUAUCAACAGAUGAAGAAUCUUGAAGACCAGCCAAUGCAAUCAAAUCCUGAAUAUAUUUAUGUUGGUGUAAGAAUAUGCCAGAAGAGUCAGUUUGAACUUCCAAUCCCAAGAAAUAUGUAAGAUGACCAAGAUCGUUCAUAUGAAAAGACUGUCGAAGAUGUUGCUUAAGCUGAGUAAUCAAUAAUGAGUCCUUCCCAGUAAUAACAAUAUCAUCAACAUACACAAAAAGGAGGACAAUUCCAGUAGAGGUCUUUCGAAGGAACAAGGAAGAGUCAUAUUGGCUUUGCACAAGCUUAAAUUGAAGCAAGCUAAAGCGAAACUUCUCAAACCAAGCUCUAGGAGCUUGGUUUAAGCCAUAUAAGGAACAAUUCAAUUUACAAACUUCCAAAGUAGAAAAGCAGGCGUCAUGUAUAUAUCCUCAUUGAGAUCACUAUGGAGAAAAGCAUUUUUGACAUCCAACUGUUGAAGUGGUCAACCCUGUGAAGUAGCAAUAGCAAGAAUUGUACGUAUCGUAGUCAUUUUGGCCACAGGAGCAAAUGUCUCCUCAUAGUUUAUUCCAUACUCUUAUCGAUUACCCAAGGCAACCAGCUUAGCCUUAUAGCGAUCUAGGGUCCCAUCAGAGCGAAGCUUCACUGAAUAAACCCAUUUGCAACCAAUGGGCUUAACAUGAGGUGGGCAUUGAACAAUGUCCCACGUUUGAUUAUCCUGAAGAGCACGAAGUUCCUCGUGCAUUGGCCGCUGCCAACACUCAUGCUUCGCUGUUUGUGAGUAAGAAGAUGGAACCGAAAUGGAGGACAAAGUAGUAGAAAAUGAUGUAUGAUAAGAGUCAUACCGCUGAGGAGGACGAGAGAUUCGGGUAGACCGUCUCGGGGCAGGUGGAGCAGGAGCAAAUGGCGGAGCUGGCUCAGGAAGGGGCUGUAGUACAGGACGCCGUGUGUACACAAAUCCAGGCUUGAACCGUUCAAUACAAGAAGACGUGUCAUCAAAAUUAGGAAGAAUUGCAAUUUCAGGGGAUGAGCUAACAUGAGCGGGAAAGAAAUGUUGAUUUUCGAAGAAAACAACAUUCCGAGAAACACGAAGCCUCUUAGAACAAGGAUCAUAACAAACAAACCCCUUAUGACUAGUGCUAUACCCCAUAAAUGCACAUUUAACAGAUUGAGCAGAAAGCUUAUGGCGUUCGUGAGGAGGCAAAUGUACAAAACAAACAAAGCCAAAGGUAUGCAAAUGUUGAUAAUGAGGAUGUUGAUGAUAAAGACGAAAAUAAGGAGAGUCAAGAUUUAGAGUGCGAGAAGGCAGUCGAUUAAUAAGAUAAACUGCUGUAGAUAAAGCUUCUACCCAAAAAGUAGGUGGAACUGAAGAUUCAAGUAACAAAGUACGAGCCACUUCUAAGAGAUGACGAUUCUUUCGUUCGGCCACACCAUUUUGUUCAGGCGUAUAUGGACAGGAACGUUGGGAGAGAAUACCUUUUUGAUUCAAAAAAUCAUGAAAUGCAUUCGUCAUGUAUUCUCCACCAGAAUCAGAUUGAAGAACCUUAACAACAGCAGAAAAUUGAGUUUCAACGUACAUGAGGAAGGAUUUAAAAACUGAAAAUACUUCGGAUUUAGAACGAAGAAAAUAAAUCCAAGUAAACCAACUAUAGUCAUCAAUAAACGUCACAAAAUAUUUAUACUGAGCAUGAGAAAUAACAGGUGCGAUCCUCCACACAUCACUAUGAAUAAUAUCAAAACAUUUUUUCGCAUGACUACCAGCAAUAGGAAAAGGAAGUAUUUUACUUUUUCCUAACUUACAAGCAGAACAAUCCAAAGAAGUACGAGAAGAACAAAAAUGAUCUUUAUUGCCCAAUAAACCAGAAGUCGACAAAUAAGACAAAAUUUCAGAAUUAGGGCGUCCCAAACGUUUAUGCCACAUUUCACUUUUAUUGAUAAUAGUAGAACAAGCAACAUGUUUAGGAACGGAUAAAUGGAGUGGAAACAAUCGUCCUACUUUAGGCCCCUUCGCGAUCACCGUUCCCAACACCUUAUCCUGCACACAACAACCAUCACGAGAAAAAUGUACAUCAUAGUUAUUUUCUACUAAUUGUCCAACUGAAAGAAGAUUAUUAGAUAGUCCAGGUGAUACAAAAACAUUGUUGAAAGUUGGAGUAAUAUCUCCAACAGCAGUAAUAGGAAUAGUGUUUCCAUUAGCAACAUGUAUAUGUUCUGAACCAUGGUAUAGGCGGACAUUGUUGAGCAAAUUAACUAAGCUAGUCAUAUGAUUUGAUGCUGCAGAAUCAAUAAGCCAAGACUCAGAUGGAGAAUUACCAUUACCGGAAGUCCUAGAGUUGAAAAGGCCGAAAUAAUCAUUUGCUGCACCAUUUCAGGAGUAAGAACUAUUGGUUCAGCAUUGUGAUUGACUGUUGUUGAGGUCCCAAUUGGAAUUUGACCUGUAGAAGGAUUGGUAGUAGAAGCUUGAAACGCAACGACCUGGCGAUUUUGGGGCCGAAUUGAGCAAUCUUUGAUGAUGAGUCUAGGCUUUUUGCAGUAAUUGCAAAAUUUUUUAGUACAAUUUGCAGCAAUAUGAUCAUAAUUCUUGCAACGAAAGCACUGAACCUUACUCAUAUCCCUACCUUUGCCUUUUCCUUGAGCCAAAAAUGCCAUAGGUGUUGUAGUCAACUUUUCUUGUUCAAGAGUGGCUUGAGUGAGAAGACGCUAUUCUUCACGAAGCAAUUCACCAAAACACAUAUCCAAUGAAGGAGGAGGGUGACGACUCAUCAAAUUAGAACGAACAUUCUCAAAAUCUGACCGUAACUUCAUCAAAAACUGGUCACGCUUGCUAACAUCAUAAACAGCCAAUACAUCUUUUUAAGAAUCUUUGGACACGGUAGCACAAACAAUAUCAGAAAAUUCAGCCCAUAAUUUUUGAAAACCAGAAAAGUAAUCCUGAAUAGACAAUCCUCCCUGAGUGUAAUUUGUAAUCUCACACUCCAAUUGAAAUCUUCUAGCUGAAUGUGUUUGAUUGUAAACUUUUUUAAAUAUUCUCACAUGUCUUUAGCAGUUUUAUAUGGACGUAAAUUAAGAAUAAGUUGAGAAUCACAGGACCCAAUAAUCCAAGACGUCACCCUAGCAUCUUUGACUUUCCAUUGAGACAAUUGUGUGGCAUUUAUAGGAGCUGGAACAGUGCCAUCUAUAUGUCCCCAUAACUCCUUUCCAGUGACAAACAAUUGAAAUUGAAAUUCCCAUGUGGCAUAAUUCUUUCCAGUAAACUUAACACAAAAUUUAGGAUUGUUAUCCGCCAUAUCAAAGUAAAGAGAAUAGUUCACACCCAAAUAAAUUCACCAAAUAAAACUAAAAUUUUACCAAAAUCGUGAGCUUCCUUUCCACGCCAAAUCCUGAAAUGAAAAAAAUGCCGCACCCAUCGCACCGUCACAUUGAUUUGUUGCAGAAUCUCUGAUCCAACAGACAGCACCAAGAAAACCAAGAAAACCAAGAGCAAUUUUUAGGACUAGUAUUUCAAAAUUUCUAGAACCAAGGCUCUGAUACCAUGAUAGAAUUUGAUUGAAUGGCUCAAUGCCUCUUUUUUGGUUGUAUUCUUCUUCAAUAAAUAGAUCAAUAUACAACGAUUGUUGGCUGAUUUCACUCAUUUACAGCUAUACAAUCUAACUAUGGAAAUAUAAUACACCAUUGUAUCAUACUAGUUCCAAUUAAUGUUAGUCAACGAUUUCAAACUGAGGCUAAAGUUAAAACGGAAAACGAAACUAAAAUUGAUUCAGGUAGUUCAAACAGGAAGGAUUGUUCAUCUAGAAAGACACUUUAAUUUUAAUACUCCCACUUUAACUUUAGCACCAAUUUGAAGUACCUGAUCCAACUAUUUUAACUCCGGACAGUUAUGCUUUAGUUUUAACUCUAACUCGGAACCUCCGAUUCAUGAAUUUUAACGUUUAUACUCCUGCUUACCUUUAGCACUAGUUUGAAGUACCGACUUAAACAACAAUGGUAUAUAUCGAGUAUAAAUAAAACAUUUCUACCAAACAAAAGUAUNUUGUUAGGAAGGACAAACUUGAUGGACUUAGUUAAAAUCAAAGCAAAAGGCAAAAUUGAAAUCGGAGUCAAACUUUAGCAACUGAUUGUAAUUAACCUUGAUCAUACUAUGUUACCAACUGAACUUAGAAACCAGGAGUACACAAAUAAGCAGAACAUACCUCUUCUUCCUCCUCUUCCACUGGAGGAACCCAAAGUGGCCAGCCACGUGAACGGUUAAUUCUUCUUGCUUUUUGUACUCUCUGAUAAAGUACUUGUCUUGUUCCAUCUGUAGGUAAGUCUUGUGCUUCUAGCUCCUCCUUUAAUUUUGAUACUAUCAUUUUACUGGCAGCUUUUGGUUUCAACACAUUCUGAUCUGGCCCUUUGAUAUCUUUUUCAAGCGCUCCUCUACUCCAAGAACAACGACUUUAGAAGCAUCGCCUAAAAUUGCAAGCCCCUCAUUCCUCAAAGUUUUCAGGAGUUUACGAUGAUUGAUCCUCCAUUCCUCUAAACAGAGCUGUUUGAAAGAUGUUUCCACAGGAUUGGAAUAAGCGAACCCCAGGGCAUCCGGAUCCAAAGGAGUUUUCCCCCUGCGCGGCACCCACCGCUUGCGCUCUCCUGUAAGACCUCCCUCUGCUGUAUACCUAAAAUAUGCCAUAAUACAUACGACGUAAAAGUUGUAAGCAAAAGAAGAGAAGAUAUACCAAAUAUAAAUAUAACAACGGAUAUCUAUGAUGCAACCUUAUUCUCUGAUUAGCAUGAGAAAAGAGUAAUAAGUAACAAUGUGAUGAUGUUCAAACAACUAAAACAUAACAAACUUCAUAAAGACAAGCUCCCUUAUGUUGCAAUUAAAGCCAGACUCUAACAAAGUAAUGCAAGUGCUACAACCAUCUCGGCAAAUUCUACUUGACAACAAUGAUAGGACUUACAUUCCCCUCCAAAUAUGCAAAAUUGCACAAGUGCCAUUGCAUGUUAUUUGCAUGCAUGUUCCUGAAAACCAUUUGUAUUUGCAUUCACAUUCUUGCUAGGGGUAUAUAUUCCAAUACAGACUUUGCCUGCAUACCCCCACAGAGGCACGUGCAUAACGAUAACUAAGUUUUCAGGGGCAGGCAUGCAAUUAUCAACUUUAUAGUGGUAUUUGCACAACUCAUACUUGUAGGGAUAUCUAUCAAAGCAAAAUAAAUAAAUAAAUAAAUAAAUACUAGUAUAGUAACCAUUUCUUUAAAUGCUAACACUUGGAUCUCUUAUAUUAGAGCUGUCUACUGUGUGAACAAUGUUUUCUAUAUAAUCGACCAACAGAAGUAAUAUCUUGCACAAAAACUAGAAUUAGAAGGAAUUAUCAGCAAUUAAACACCAGUGCAGUCUUAAGUACCGACUAUGAGGAAAAAAUAAUAAAAGUUUUGCAAAAAAAUCUUCUGCAGAAAUUAACAGAUUCUAGUUAACCUAUUAUCUACAUGUAUAGUUAAUCAAUACAUAGAUAUUAACAAAGACAAGAACCUUUAGAUGGCUCCCAGAUGUUAUCACAACUUAGGAGCACAACAGCAAUAUAUAUAUAUAGUUGGCUAGAAUACUAUUGAUAGCAAAAGAUCUAUUUUGCUAUCAAGUUUUUAGCUUUUGGAUCAAUUUCUUUCAUCAUUUCUAACCAUUGGAUUAAAUAUUAUAACCCAAUAGGGACCACUCAACCCUAAGGCGACCACUCAAUCCUAAGAGACUAAUAUCAUCCUAACCCUACAAUUUCUCAUUAAAGCAUUAAAAACUUGAUAGUAAAAAAGAUCUUUUACUAUCAAUAGUAUUCCAGCCUAGCUCUAUAUAUAUAAUUCGACUACUACGUUAUUAAUAGCAGGAAGCACUUGGUGCUACCAAAUUUUUCGCCGUUAGAUCUACCCUUUUGAUCAUUUUCACCCAUUAGAUCAUACUAUUCAACCAACCACCCACUCAACCCUAGGGGGCCCACAUCAUCCUAACCGCACAUCUUUUAAUCCAAUGGCCAAAAACUUGGUAGCACCAAUGACUUGGUGCUAUUAAUAGUAUAUUAGCCUAGUUCUAUACACACACACACACACACAUUUCAGUACAAGAUAAAUGAAAACAGCAGCCAUGCAAAAAAAAAAAUUUCAACUUCACCACGGAGAAAAGGAAUCAAGUUAAAUCAGCAUACAAACAAAUUUUCCUGAUAAUAAAGCAAACCUUGCAACAUAAUCAAUUUCAAAUCCAACAUCAGCUUCUUCUUGUAAAGGUUCUAUCCAGGAGCUCACUAGCGUGCGAUAUUUCCUGCUCAACAUCAUUGCUCUUCGUACAAUAUGUUGAUUAUCUUUAGCCAUUGCUUCCAAAGCUUCAAGCAACUCAACAGCUCUUCCUGAUUAUAAAAAUAACCUGCUCAGAGAAGUUCUAAUUCACAACAACACAAACCAUUAACAUAACCCAAAAAGGCAACUUUGACAAAUUAUGAUGGAUCAUUUCACAAAGUAGCAAAUAUUUCUCAAUGAUGCUAUAAAAUUAAUAGGGUUAUUUGCAUACACAUCCCUGCAAACAUAGUGAAUUGCGGAAAUAUCCCUGCAAAAUGAAAACUCCAUAAGUUGUCCCUGCAAAAGUCCUAAGUUAUGCAGAUAUGUCCCUGCCGUCCAGAUCUGUUAGAAAAUUUUCGUUAACCACGGUUAAAAUACUUAACCAUGGUUAAUUAUAGUGUGAAUUGACGUAUUUACCUUUCUUCCUCUUCCUCCUCUUCCUCUUCCUUCUUCUUCGUCGCCGGGGAGGAAAUGCGGCGGCGACGGCGACGACGACGACGGUGGCCAACCCUCUUCCUUUUCCUCUUCCCUCUUCCUCUUUUCUCUUCUUCUUCCUUCUUCCUUCUUCCUCUUCCUCUUCCCUCUUCUUCGUCACCUGCGAGGGAGAAGAACCUCGUCGGGGUCGACCUCGGAAAGGCGGGCAAGUUUCGAGACGAGAAGCUCGAGGGCGUUGUUGUCGACGAGGGUGGCGACGAGGGCGUGCGCGGGGUCGUCGUGGUCGCCGAGGACGUCGGCGUCGGUGAGGUCGGUGAGGAGGGAGACAAAAUCGACGGUGAUGUCAGUGCCGAGGAGGCCGACGAGGGAGGGGACGGCGUUGAGGGCGACGAGCUCCAGGUAGAGCUCUGGUGCCCAGGCGUUCUUCCCUCUUCUUCGUCGCCGGCGAACCCAACCCCGCGCCACCGCCGCCGCCGCCGUCGUCCGCUUCGACGGUCCGAAGAGGAAGAGAAAGAGAAGGGGAAGAGGAAAACUUUUGGAGGGAUAUAUUUGUGAGGGUAAAAUGGUCAUUUUACGAAUCCACUGUUAAAAAAUAAACAGAUCACUAACGGAUGUUAACCGGAGGGACAUAUCUACCUAACUUAGGACUUUUGCAGGGACAACUUAUGGAGUUUCCGUUUUGCAGGGAUAUUUUCGCAAUUCACUAUGUUUGUAGGGACGUGUAUGCAAAUAACCCAAAUUAAUAACAGACUGAUAGUUCUUUGCAUCAAAAGCGUAAGACAUAAAGAAAGGGAUAAGUAAUUUUUCUCGAUGAUCACAAGAACGUUGAGAAGACUUACAAUGAGUUGCAUUUAACAAUCAUCAAAUAUAGCUAUAAAAAUAUUAUAAAGCACCUUCAAUAACUUCAUUUAUUUUAGAUGUACAACUACGUUGCUAGGCGCAACAUCAGAAGCAACUUAUCUACAAUAUAAAGAGAGAGUUGAGCUAGAAGCCUAGAAUACUAUCGAUAUCACCAAGAUCUUCAUACUGUUACUACAUUCUAGGUAGCGCAUUCAAAUCGACAAUUAAAAUUGUUAAACAUGAACAAGAUGAAGUUUCAAGUAACCAAAAUUUACGAUCUUCUAACAUUAUCUUUUAUUGCAUCAGUUGUUCACAAAAUGAACAGUGCGAUAGAAUAUCCUGAUAAAAAUAGAGGAUGAGACUCUUCCACGUAAAGUAAAUUAUGUUGAUCUAGAUUUGGAUAUAACAAAAAAUAAAAAUAUAUAAGAUAUAUAAAAAAGAAGAAACCUAAUUUGUAUUCUUCUAUAAACCUCGCAUCGCUCACCAUAUAAGUAGUGCCUCCACAGGUUCAACGCGAAAAUUACUGCGACUAACUCAAGGUCAUGAAUAGGAUAGCUCUUCUCAUAAUUCUUCAAUUAGCAAGAAGCAUAAGCAAUAAACCGCCCACGCAGCAUUAGAACACACCUUAGACCAUUAUAAGAGGCAUCACUAUAUACCACAAAACUCUCCCCCGGAAUCGGCAAGGCGAGUAUCAGAGUUGAAGUCAAUCUUUCUUUUAUCUCCCGAAAGCUUUUGUCGCACUCAUCACUCCAAACAAACCUCGCUCCUUUGUGCGUGAGGCAUGUUAGUGGAGUAGUAAUUUUAGCAAACCCCUCCACAAACCGCCAAUAAUAACCCGCAAGACCCAGAAAAUUACGGAUCUCUGCAAUAGUCGUCGGGCGAGGCCAAUCUUUAAUUGCUUCCACUUUCCUCGGGUUAACAGAUACUCCACCCUCGAAAACAACAUGGCCUAAGAAAGUGAACUCACAGAGCCGAAAGUCGCACUUCUUUAACUUCGCAUAGAGCUUCUUUUCUCGGAGAAUUUGCAGAACAGUCCUCAAAUGCUCCUUGUGCUCCUCAUCGCUCCUAGAAUAGAUCAGAAGAAUAUGGUGAUAAUAUGCUGAUAAAUGAAUUUAUCAGCAUUAUUGUAUUUAAAUCCAUGGGACAAUAUUAUGGAAUCAAAUUUUCAUGCCAUUGUUUUGGCGCUUGCUUCAAGCCAUAUAACAACUUGAUUAAUUUACAAACUUUCUUUUCAUUUCCAGAUAGCACAAACCCUUCAGGUUGAUCCAUGUAGACUUCUUCAUCUAGUUCACCAUUUAAAAUGUUGUUUUAACAUCCAUUUGAUGUAUAAAAAGAUUAUAAAUUGAAUUGAGUGCUAACAACACUCUAAUGGAUGUCAUCCUAGCCACUGGUGCAAAAGUGUUGAAGUAAUCUAUACCCUCUUUUUUGCUUAUAUCCUUUAGCUACUAAUCUCGCUUUAAACGUUUGCAUAGAUCCAUUCGUAUUAUACCUUUUUCUAAAUACUCAUUUGCAUCCAAUAGAUUUUGAUCAAGGAGGUAAGUCAACUAGAAUCCAAGUAUUAUUAGAUAAUAACGAGUCCAUUUCAUCAUUUACUCCCUCUUUCCGAAAUGCUGCGUCUCUAGAAGUCAUGGCUUCUGUAAAUGUUUUUGGAUCAUCUUCUAUAUUGAAUAGAAUUGGUAUUUUAUUUAGAACAUUUAUUCUACUUCCUUCUACAAAAAAGGAUACAAAAUCAGGAUCUAAACUCUUUUCUUUUCUAACUCUUUGACAACUCCUAGGUUCACUAGAAGUUACUGUCAUUUUUCUUUUAUAGUUAAAAGAUAUACUAGAAUUAGUGCCGGCUACUUCUGCUUGUGUAGAUUCUGAAAUAGAAUUAGAAUCAUUGAUAAAUUUAUUUUUAAAAAUUCAACAUCUUUUGAUUCCACAAUAAUAUUUGAUUCCAAAUCCAGUAAUCUAUAUGCUUUAGAAUUUUCAGCAUAUCCUACAAACACAUUUUAGAGCUCUAGGUCCCAAUUUAUUAUAUCUUUAGGGUCUGGAACUCUAUAAAAGGCUAAACACCCCGAAACUCUGAGAUAAUUUAAGUUUGGACUUCUUCCUUUCCAUAAUUCAUAUGGAGAUAUUUUUGUUUUUCUAGAGGGUAUUCUAUUGUGUACGUGACAGGCUGUAAGUAAUGCUUCACCCUACAAAUUGAAAGACAAUUUUGCAUUUAAAAUCAUAGCAUUAACCAUAUCGACUAAUGUUCUAUUCUUUCUUUCUGCCAAUCCAUUCUGUUGUGGAGUGUAUGGUGCACUAGUUUGAUGAAUAAUACCAUUUUCUUCACAAUAUAUCGAGAAUUCCGUAGAGAGGUAUUCUCCUCCUCUAUCACUUCUCAAAAUCUUAAUUUUCUUUUCCUUUUGAUUUUCAACAAUAGAUUUAUAACAUUUAAACAUUUCUAAAGCUUGACCCUUUUGCUCCAUUAAGUAAAUAUAUGCAUAUCUAGAAUGAUCAUCGAUAAAGGUAAUAAAGUAUCUAUUUCCACCUCUAGUUAAAUGAACAUUUAAUUCACAAAUAUCUGAAUGCACAAGUUCUAAUAGAUCAAUAUUUCUCUCUACUUUAGGAAAAGGUUUUUUAGUCAUUUUAGCUUGAAUGCAUAUUUCACAUUUUUCUUUAUUAUUAUGAUUAUAUGAAAUUAAGCCAUGUUUAGCCAUAAAUUCUAAGAAAUUAUAAUUUAUAUGUGCUAAACGAUUAUGCCACAAAGAAAUAGAACAUUAACAAUAUAAGCAGAAAUAUUAUUAUUUUUAUUAUUGAUACCAAGCUUAAACAUUCCAUUACAAGAGUAUCCCUUUCCUACAAAUACUCCAUUCUUUGACAGGAUCACCUUAUCCGACUCUAGUACAGCUUUUAUCCUUCUUUUACAAAGUAAAUUUGCAUAUCCAAGAUUUUUUACGAUAUCUAGAACAUGGAGUACAUUGAUAAGUAAGAGUUUCUUUCCAGAAGUGAAGAAAAGCUCAACGCUGCCCUUUCCUAGAACUUUUGCAGCACUGUGAUUUCCCAUCAACACUUCGUGACCAUCUGCUGUCUCUUUUUAAUCUUUAAAUUGAGAUUUGUUGUUGCAGACAUGAACAGUAGCACCCGAAUCAUACCACCAAUCCAGCAACUUGCUGUUGCCAUGUGAAGUUCGGUAACCAUGCUUAUAUGCAUGUCAGAAAUCAUUGCAAUAAGUUCUGUGGUUUGUUGUUCAAUCAUGUUGGCCUUAUUAGUGUCUUCCUUCUUAAAUUUCUUCAUGUAUCUAUACUCUCUUUUAUAGUGACCCUUCUUUCCACAGUGAUAACAAAUCCUAUCCUUUUUUAUCUUAAAGUUAUUUGAUUCAGAAAAUUUUCUCUUAUUUCCAGAAAACUUUUGAUUUUUAUUUUCAUCUACUUGAUUUAUUUUAAAGCUAUGUUGAACAUCAUUUUUUAGGUAGCAAUUCCGAGUUUCCUCCUCAAUUCUAAAGUGUUUUUGAAUUUGCUCUAAAGUAAAAUCUUCUGCAGUGUGUAAAAGUUUCACUCUAUAAUCAUUCCAAUUACGAGGCAAUUUCGCAAUAAUAGCCCCUACUUGAAAAGAUUCUGGAAGAGAAAUUUCUAACUCUUUAAGUUUAGAAACCAAAAUUUGUAACCCAUGUAGUUGUUGCAUUAUUGAUAAGUUUUCUACCAUAGUAAAUUCAAAAUAUUUCAUAAUUAAAAACUUAUAUGUGCCUUGCUUUUCAGUAUUGCAUCUUGCUUCUAGAGAGUUCCAUAUUUCUCUUGGUGAUUGGAUUGAUGCAAAUAAGUCAUAUAAAUUAUCUAACAAGUUAUUAAGAAUAUGUCCUCUACACGGUAGUUCAUCCUCCUUGCGUUUUUUACGUGCCACCCUCACUUCAUCAGUAUCUGCAUCAGUCGGUGCAGAAAUAUCAAACAAAUUGGGGUCCAGAAUGUAGGCUAUCUUCAGUGUAGUAAGUAAGAACAUCAUUUUAUCUUUCCAUCGAGUGAAGUUGGCCCCAUCGAAUUGGUUCAGUAUCAUAGAGUCUUGAUUUAUUAUCUUGAAAGUCGCCUCAGUGUUUAUCUCCAUUAAAAUAACACCUUAAAAUUGUUGGGGAAAUAUGAAUGGAGAGGCGUGUAAGUUUACUUUCUUUAAGGUGUUAUUUGCCCCCACUCGAAUGUAUGCUGUCAGGUUACCAACAAAUCACCUCCGGGGUACAACAAGACCGUUGAAGUGUAAAGACUGAGAUUUUGACAGUGCAACUAAACUCUCUGUUGACGAUAUUUAUGUGUGUAAUUUAAUUUCAUAAGCACUCGUCAAGUUUCAGAAGAAAAUGAGCUAGAAUGGAGAAGUUACGCGAUUAUUAGUUUUCACUUAAAGUGAAUAGUAACCCGGUUUUUCGGUGAAGCCACGGAGUAGAGUUGGCUUUCGGCGUGUAUCGGACUCCGUUCUUAGCGAUCCAAUAGCUCGUUUUGAUCGGUUCAGCUAUUUUGGAACCAAUGGCACUGACGGAUUUCAGAUCUGAUGCAUGGUUUCCGAGAAAAAGGAGUUUUAUCAAAAAGAGGGUUUUCGUCCUUUGCUAUUCGUGCAUCGUGAAGCUCCUCGUGCUCUGUGCUCAUGACCGGGGGUCGGGUGAGAGUUGUUUCAAGUACCUACUGCUGGUAGGGAAUUCAAAUUCGAGUUUGAAUUAAAGGAUUUCGGGUUUCCACCUAGGCCUAUGUGUGAUAUGUGGAUUAGUUGGAGAGAGGACGGAUUUUGUCGCAAAUCGGGAAGCAAAUCGGAUGAAACAAAAUCGUAGUUUCAAUGCCCCCGUCGUGCUGAACGCAAUGGCGCUAUCAGAUCGGAAAUCCGACGGACGAAUCACCAGUUAUUGCAUGAUGUUCGGGAAGAGGUCUAUUGCGACAAAUCGGAAACUUAGCAAAAGUCGUAAUAUUUUAUGUACCGAAUCACACGAAAUCAGACGUAGAGAGGCGUACGUGUAAAAUACUCGCACUGUGAAGGACUAAAUUUCUAAUAAUCAGUGUAGAGGGACUUGUGUGCAAAGUUGACAUUCAUAUAUGGAGUUCCUAGGGUUUCAUUAUGGGAAAACCCUAACCUGGGUUCACCUUCUCCCUCAGCCAACCUCCCUGCAACCCUCUGAACCUUCCCCUUCCUAGCUGCCCGCACUCCGGCUGCCGGCAAGCACCUCCGGCCACCGGAGUAGGCCUUCGAAUGCUCUCCUCUCCAUCGGGUUCCACAACUUAGGCCGUGGAUCCUAGGAAAGCAUCCAUUUGCGUCGAAUCAGAGUUCGCCGGCCGAGGCUUCCCCUCCGGCGACAUCCCCGCCGGCCCCGCCGUCCACGCGCGUCGCCGGCGCCGCCAGGACGCGCUGCUGACGCCCAGACCCGGAGCGGGCCGAGCCGGGGCGACCUUUGCCUCCAAGGGCCGCCGCCGCUAGGGAACUCAUAGGCGACCUCCCUCGUGACCGCUGGCACCUCCGCGUCCGGCCAGAGUGGCCGCUGCCGCCGCUCCUACUGUUUGCGGCCAGCCCGAGCAAGAUCUGGCCGUGGGUGACCAGAUCUCUCUCCCCCGCGUCGCCGCUGUCCAGGAUCGGCCGGGCCUCCUCCCACCGGCCUCCGACGACCGCUCGCCGUCGCCCGGAGCUCCCCUCAGCCGUUCCCGUGGCCCUCGGCCGCCGCUCCCUCUCCCUGCGGCCGCGCAGGGUCUGUGCAGGCCGAGCCACACCCAGCACCGCCACCGCCGCCUUCCGCAGCCGACCAGCGUGAGCACCGACUCCGCCUGGCCGGCCACACCCGUCAACCGCCGAAGACGCUGCCGCCGGAGCUCCCCGUCGGCCGGAGCGAGCCCGUGUUCUCUUCGGGUUUGGGUGCCUAAGGCAUCAUUGGCCGUCGUCGCCGCCGCCUCCCGUCGCCUGCUGACGCCAUCCCCGGCCACCUCGGACAUGCCGCACCUACCCCUAGCCGGCCUUCCCGCCGUCCUGCCGCCGCCGGCCACCCCGUGCCCUACCUAGCUCUGUAAGCCUAUUUUCAGCCUGUCUGCGCACUAGUUUCCUGUUUGGAUCACUGUUCUGACGACUCGGGGCUGUUCCGAUGCCUCCGGAGGUGAGCACGGUGAUCGUCAGUCAGUUAUGAUCACAAUGACCACCUCACUUAGGGUCAGCGAGCUCCGGAUGAGUUAAUUAGAUGUGUUUUAGUUUCAGUGCGCGCUAUUUUGUUGAACCUCGUGUCGCUCGUACGCGUCCCACAGUGGCCGAAAUGGCUCCAAAAGGUGAGCAUGGCCUCCGGUACGCCGAGACCUGUCAGCGGGUGUCUCGGUUUGGCUGAUUGACUUCUAGGUUGUGUAGAUGGACCAUAAAAGCACCGAAAUCACAUAAAAUAAUGUGAUUUUGGGUAAUCGAGUGGGCUUUUAUGCAUUUUGGUUCGUCGUGGCUGCUCUUGGCAGCAUGUGCGGGUAGUGGGUAACCUUUGGACUGAUUGCCCAAGGCCCCAAGCCUUUGCGGAAAUCAAAAAGUGAUUUUCGGAGCGUUUCCUGGCGAAAUCCGCCGACGGAACGCGGGUUCGGUUCGGAAUUAUUCCGAUGGUGCUUCCUGAGCUAUUGUGUAGUCGCCGAGCCUUGUUGGCUGGUCACUCACGUCAUUUUGAGAGUUCAGAAAUGACGAAUGAGCAACGGUGGGUUCCGGUGUCGAAAUUGACACUUCCGGGAACCCGGAUCCGAACAAUUAUCCGACAAUAAUUGUUUGUUUAUAUAAUAUUGUUUUUGCUGCCAAAUCACACUAAAAUAGGUGUUUUGUGGCAGCAGGUGACUCGUAGCUCGAGUCGGUAUGUUCCGGGACAGUUCGUGGGUCCCGGCGGAGUCCCCGUACAAUUACGGGACUUCCGGCGUAUUACGGUGAUCGGUUUGGGAAACCGAUCUCCGUGGGUUUGUUCGUGGGUUGUGGAUUUAGUGGUUAUUAGUUGUGGGUUAGACAGUGACCCGGUGGACCUUCCUUAGGUCCAGUUGACAUUCUUUCGCAGUCAGGAGGCAGGCGCGACGUCCUUAUAGGUGGGUACUUCGAUCCGACGUCGGUAUAGUGGUGCACGCUUGGUGAUGGUUUCUUACCCUUACUCUUCUAUUAUUACAAUUGCAUAGUAUAUAGUGAGUCUUGCACCUAUGUUAUACCAUUAUACUCUGCUCGUUGUUUACACGCUUAGUAUCCUGAGUAGGAGUAGAGUAGUUUGUCUGUAUAUGAUACUAUGUUUCCAUAUUGCUCUACUUGCCUGUUUUACAUAUCAUGUAUUCUGUCUAGAGUAGAGCGGUUUCGUGACUAUCUGUGAGAUGGUGACCUAGUCGGUCAGUGCAUUAUAUCUAUACUUGUGACAUGAUUGGUCGAGUUUCAUAUCCUAUACUUGUGACAUGAUUGGUCGAGUUUCAUAUCCUAUACUUGUGAUACGAUUGGUCGAGUUUCAUAUCCUAUACUUGUGACAUGAUUGGUCGAGUUUCAUAUCCUAUACUUGUGACAUGGUUGGUCGAGUUCAUAUCCUAUACUUGUGACCUGGUUGGUUGAUUUGGUUACAUGAUGACCCAUAUGGUCAGUGUGCCCUGAGUGGGCAGGAUUGUCGGCUGGUUGCCGACAGUUGGCUAUUGAGCAUUCUGCAUCGAUCGCCACUGCUCGCACGCAUUUCACGAACACCAGCGGUCUGAUCCACCGCAAGAGGGUGUUCUUUUCCGGAAAAGUGGUUGCUUGUGUCAACCCGUGAGCCCUAGUGUGGUUAUAUGCUUACAGCCUGAGGUGUUGGGUACCAAUAUGACUUGUUUCUGUUUAGAGCAGAUGUGGCAUGGGCCUGAGGUGUUGGGUACCAAUACGGCCAGUACAGAUUGGGUAUAUUUGGUCUAUACGUUCGGUUGACGCAUAUGUCUAUAGUAGCAGUUGUUGUAUGCAUACUUACAAUUCUUUCUAUAUAUUUGUCUUGCUACUAUAGUUUGAUACCCAGGUAUGCUUUAUAUUCUUCGUUACAGUAGCAGUAGUCGUUCUUAUACAUUAUGUUCAUGUAUUAUUGUUGCUACUGUAUUUAGUAUAUCUGCCCUUGUUGUUAGUUAUCUCUUCCUGAUCCGGUGAGUACUCCUCGCCUUCUUCGGCUUGCGGUACCCACUGGGAGGGGAGACAUGUUUACAUGUUCUCACCUCCCCCACCAUUUUUCAGGUAUCGUGGGCGAUGAGUAGUGGGACGAGACGUGAGGUACGCGUGUAGCGGUCGAUAGAGCUUUCGACCCGGGUUAAUUCGGUUUACUUUCUUACCCUUCUUAUUUUGGCUGAUGAAUAGUUUAGUUGGUUUAUGUGGUUCAGUGUUUAUUUACAUUUGAAAAUGUGGAUUUCUGGAUUUUGUAAAAUAAAAGGUUUUCUACCCCUCGUGGUAGCGUUUUUAAAAGAAUAAAGGAUUCUGUGUAGGAAACAGCUUUCAAAAGAUUUUUGUGGAUUUCUGAUUAAACCUUGAAUGUAAAACUGUGAUGUGAAUGGUGAUUGUAUGAAUGUAUAGUUAUCCUUAUAUUCAUCUGGUUGUGGUUGUAUCCUGGUUGUUUUGUGUAUUUGAUCGACGCCGUGCAAAUACAGGGGAGACUCUGUCCGUGUGAAUAGUGGAUUCCCUGUAUUUGUGGCGGAUCUGGCAUACCCUGGGGUCAGGUUUUCAAAAAAAAAAUUCAGACGCUUUUCCGCUUUGUUUUAAACUGAAAAGGGACCCCGGGGCGUGACAGAUUAAAGUGGUAUCAGAGCGAGGUUACAACCACAACACCAUUCACAGGUUAUUUUUGAAAAGUAAAUGAAACUGAACCAUUGGUUAGGUUGACCAAUAGGAAGACCACGGUGUAUAGGCACGUGAGUGCGGGGUUUGGACUUGUGUCCUGGGUUGCAUUCGAGUUUGGUAAAUUCGAAGUGCAUGGUGUUUCUGUACGUGUUACGGUUCGCACAAGCUGGUGUCUAUGUUGGGAGUAGUGGCGGUGUACUUUUUUGGACAUCGAGUGGUGGGACGGUAUUCCCCAGGUGUUGCCACUCCUGUCAGGUGAAGCCUUGAAAGGCCAGUGACUUACGGGUCUAGGCGAGUGUCAUAACUGCCGACGCCCAGGCCAGUCUCUNGUGACAUGAUUGGUCGAGUUUCAUAUCCUAUACUUGUGACAUGGUUGGUCGAGUUCAUAUCCUAUACUUGUGACCUGGUUGGUUGAUUUGGUUACAUGAUGACCCAUAUGGUCAGUGUGCCCUGAGUGGGCAGGAUUGUCGGCUGGUUGCCGACAGUUGGCUAUUGAGCAUUCUGCAUCGAUCGCCACUGCUCGCACGCAUUUCACGAACACCAGCGGUCUGAUCCACCGCAAGAGGGUGUUCUUUUCCGGAAAAGUGGUUGCUUGUGUCAACCCGUGAGCCCUAGUGUGGUUAUAUGCUUACAGCCUGAGGUGUUGGGUACCAAUAUGACUUGUUUCUGUUUAGAGCAGAUGUGGCAUGGGCCUGAGGUGUUGGGUACCAAUACGGCCAGUACAGAUUGGGUAUAUUUGGUCUAUACGUUCGGUUGACGCAUAUGUCUAUAGUAGCAGUUGUUGUAUGCAUACUUACAAUUCUUUCUAUAUAUUUGUCUUGCUACUAUAGUUUGAUACCCAGGUAUGCUUUAUAUUCUUCGUUACAGUAGCAGUAGUCGUUCUUAUACAUUAUGUUCAUGUAUUAUUGUUGCUACUGUAUUUAGUAUAUCUGCCCUUGUUGUUAGUUAUCUCUUCCUGAUCCGGUGAGUACUCCUCGCCUUCUUCGGCUUGCGGUACCCACUGGGAGGGGAGACAUGUUUACAUGUUCUCACCUCCCCCACCAUUUUUCAGGUAUUGCAGGAGAUGAGUAUUGGGAUGAGAUGUAAGGUACGUUCGUAGCGGUCGAUAGAGCUUCCGACCCAGGUUAUUCGGUUUAGUUUCUACCCUUACUAUUCUGUUGAUAUAGCUUAGAUAGUUAAAUGGUUCAGUAUUUUUAUUAUAUUUGAAUAUGUGGAUUUUCAUGAAUGUAAUAAAAGGAUUUUUGAAUUUCGUAAAAUGGAAAGCUUUUCUACCCCUCGUGGUAGCGUUUUUAAAUAUAAAAGUUUCUGUGUAAGGAACAGUUUUCAAAAGAUUUUCUGUGGAAUUAUGUUUAGACAUCGAAUGCAAAUCUGUGAUGUGAAUGAUGAAUCUAUGAAUGUAUAGUUAUCUCUAUAUUCGUUUAGUUGUGGUUGUAUCCUGUUUGUACUGUUGUACUUGUGCGACGCCGUGCAAAUACAGGGGAGACUCUGUCCGUGUGAACAGUGGAUUUCCUGUAUUUGUGGCGGAUCUGGCAUUCCCUGGGGUUAGGUUUUUAAAAAAAAAAAUUUCAAACGCUUUUCCGCUAUGUUUUAAACUAAAAGAACCCCGGGGCGUGACAUGAAGACUGCAAACAGCACUUUUGAAGACUUUCCCUUAAGAACUUCUCUCUUAAGCAUCAAUAUGAAAAAUUAAGAAGGAGAAAGGAUUGAAUAUGUUUCCCUUGAAGCCUUCAAACAUCUCCUAUUUAUAGGAGGUGAAUGGUUACGAUGAAAGGACACAACUUUUAAAGUUAUAUCCUUUCACAAAAGGACACGUCCUUUCACAAAUAAAGAAAAGACAUACUCUUUCACAAAAGGUUCAUAUCUCUUCGUGAAAAAACAUAUCUCUUCGUGAAAAGACAGAUCUUUUAUGAAGAGACGAAUCCUUUCAUAAGAAUAACUACUUUAUGAACAGACGCAACUAUUCACCAAUCUCACUUCCGCUAUUACAAUCUACACUAACAGGUUUUACAUAUAGGCCCCCCUAACAAUUACAACUCACAGUUUAGUCCAGUUCAGAGUCUGAUACUUUUCGCCGGGACUCUUCUGAAUGUCCGUUUGCGUUCAAAUUUGAUGGUCAAACUCGGUUAAAAUCAAGAAGAAGAACAUGAUCUUAACUUUUCAGUUUUGAACUAUAUUUUGUCAGCAAAAAGUCUACCGACUAGAAUCGCUAGCAGAUAGCAGUCAGAUUUUGUUUUUCACUUUCCGGGUGUCGGAAUAAUAUGAAAUUUUAAAUCUAACCUCAGAAAAAUAAUUCCGACAUAUUCUCAAAUCUUUAUAAUUUUCUAACACUGUAAAUUUUCUGUUAAAAGAUUAGCCCCCAUUUCUUACAAAAAAUUCUAAAUUUUCUGUUUCCAUUCUAAUUUUAGCACAAGUCAUUUUCGACUUAUAUUUUACUUCUUUAAGUCCAAUAAAAAUAGUAUCUUACACUAUUUUUAUUUACAUUUACUUUCAUAUUAAAAAUCCGGUACAUUACAACUAAUCUUGCAGAUUCUAGCGCGAGCGAGGCGGUCGAGGAUCGCGGCAAGGGCAUCGCGCCCUGGGUAGUGGGCUUCCCCGAGUUUAGUUUAUACCCAGUUUACUUUCAUCUUUUGUAUACGAUGAAAAGUGUAAUGUAAAUGAAAGAUGAUGUAUGUAUUUAAAGGACGUAAUGUAAAUUGGUAAAUGAAUGUAAUAAAGUAUCAAACUUUGUAUUUUGUUUAGAGUUUGCAAGAUACAAUGAAUAUAUGCAUAGUUAGUUUACUUUCACUUGUGCUUGUUGCUUGCCCUCGUGCAAGCCAUAUAUAAUGAAAUUAAUCAUGGGCUAAUUCUUUAUCCAUGAUAGUUGUUGUUCUUGUUGAGCCUUGGGCGGACAGGAAAGGUUCUGUUCAUUCGGCGUCUAUUGGACGUGCCCGAACCAACGAAAUUGGCGGUCGUGGGGCUUUGACACUAUAGCCCAUAUUAUAUGUUGAUAUGAUAUUAGUAUAUCAUUCCUGUUUUUCUUACGAAACGACGACUAGGACUAGAACGUUCUUAUUAUUACAUAAGAAUAUGUAACAUUAAGAAUAUAUAUGUCAUACACCUUACUGGGAUUGUAGUUUAAUUGGUCAAAGCAUCGCCCUGUCAAGACGGAAGCUGCGGGUUCCAGCCCCGUCAAUCCUGAACUACGAUCCAGUGAAUUCAUCAAUUCAUCUCUCUCUUUCACGGAAGAGGGUACAGGAAGCAAGAUCUAAUCCCCAGCUGGGAUCCUUAUUGCUUUUGUUUUUUUAUUUCACAUUUAUCAUCACACAAACACUGAUACGGAAAUUUCAAAUCUUUUCACUACUCUCGAUUGAUAAAGGAGAGACAUAUCAAAUGUACAUUAGUACAAUCGGUGGUAUUACUAUAUUCAAUAUUUUAAGAGAUACCAUCCUAUUGUCACUUUCUUUUUCGAUUGUUCUUGAUCUAUGAAAUGGAGUAGAGUGAUCCUAUUUUACCAGGAGUACAUACACAAAUUGUAUUCGUUUAUUGUAUGAUGGACAAUGAACCCAACAUAAUUACCUCGAUAGAGUACUUUUCCCGUUAAACCACACCUUUUCUAGCUUUGACUUUGUUUGUGUAUUCUCAAUGACUAAUUGUAAAUAACCUAUUUUAUUCUCAUUCAAAUUGCAGACAUCAUUUUUGAUGUAUGCGUUCCAGUACAAAUAAAUACAAGAAAGAGGAUACUAAUAAAAUAAAAGAAAAGACCAACCCUUUUCAGAAAGAGUCAAUUUCUUUUUUAUCAUAAAGUUUCUCUUUCUGAUCUUUCUAAGGAUCUAGUUCAUGAUACUUAAUUAAGUAAAGUAUCAUGAAAAGCAAACAAAAAAGUUUAGCUCUUUUUUCUUAUUAGAAGAUUGAUUAUCCGCUUUUGGCAGCAAAAUAAUUAUUGGUUACUAGUAAUUCGUGUCGCUCUCAAAUGUUUUUUCAAAAUGUAAUGACUAGAAGAGCGACUGAUAAUAAUGAUCCGCAUAAAAGAGCUGCAUAGCUCAAUAACAUCAUACUCAUGUGCAUCAUUAUCCACUGAAAUUGUAGAGCAAGUACUAAUAUUGCAUAUUGAUACAUUUCAAUUGAAAGACCCAACAUGACAAAACGUUGAGUAGAAAUGGUACUUGGUACAAUUGUUGUGCCUAAAUUAUUUUGAAGGUCACGUAUCUUAGGAAUCAUAUGAAUAAUGAAGAAACUGCAUGAAAGGAAGAUUAAUGACUCGUAUAAAUUACUUAAUGGAAAAUGUCCCGAAGAAAUCCAACGAGAAACUAAUAAUCCUGUUAUAGAGAAAAAAGUAGCUAUCAUCCCUUUUUUGACCAACCACAUAAUCCUACAAUUUUGUGGACUAAUAAGGUCAUCAUAUGAAUCGUACUCACAAUUGAAAUGAUCAAAAAAGAGAUAUGAGUUAAUAUAUAUUAUAUGGACACGAGAACACCAAAUUGACGUCAACACAAGAAACCACACUAAGACUCGGCACAAGUUGCCAAAAAAGCACUUUUUAUUUCGUUAUAAUAAAAAUAAUAUGCCUAUAUACAAAAGAAUUGCUCAAAUCUCGGAAGGGAAUGAGCAUCACACUUUUAUCGUGAACCAAAACUGUUUUUGUAAUUUAUAUAGGACAUUAGCAUGCUAAAAUAUGUAAAGAACGAGUAGUAUUCUGAUCAAGUCAACCAGCUGCCAUUCAAUUAGAGUACAACUUCCAAACUUUCAGCUCGCCGGCUCCAUCUCCAGUAAAAAAGAGACCACCAGGGCCGAUCUCUAAAAUCCUCACUUCCUCCUUGGAAAAAAUCCUCCCUCUUUCAUUGAAUCUGAGAAAUAUAGUGUACACAGUAAAAAACAGGGAAACAACAAUUCAUUGGAUAAUCCAAUGCAAGAAUAAGAUAAUUUAGUUAUACGACACACUUACGAUGGUAGGUCGUAGACACGCACAACAUUGUCGUUGCAUGAGCACAUGAGCACCGGACUGGCUUUAGCAUCAUUCAUUCCGUGCAGCACAAGCACUCCCUGCAACAACCAACAAUAGAUGACAUCAAUGAAAGUAUGGUUAGGCAGAGCUUAAGGACAUAGCUUGCAUGAGAGCGCGUCAUAUAAUAUCAUCAGUUCAACACUGUAAUUAUAUGGUUCCAUCAAGUAAAAUAAGCAAAAUAACCACUUGAGUCAUAGAUUAAAUGGAAAUCUCCACCAGUAUAACACCAGGAAAUUGGUCUAAGCACACUAUCUACAUUACAAAAUAUACAUUAUUGAAGAAAAGAUCCAAAGUAAAAGAGCAAUUUGCUAGCUGAAUAAGGCCACAAAGCAAUACCAAAAUGAUUGAUGUCAGUAUACAGUAAUAAGAUAAAGUUCCAAUCUAAGAGCAACAUGCAAAGUUGUCAUCAAAGAGCACAAGACAAUCACAAAAAUUAGGAAAUACAAAUUUAGCAUUUGUGGUCUUGUAAUUGAAGAGGCCAAGAAAGACGAACAAGAUUCAGAAUUUUUUAGGACACCACAUGCGAAAAGUAACCACUAGAAUUAUAAGCAGCCUGCUGAAAAGCAAGACUACUUAUACUUAUAGGUAGGCUAAGCAAAGCUCUUACAUGCUCUUCCUUGUGGGUAUACUCUACUUCUAUCCCAUUUUUUUCUGUAGCUGCCCAGACCUGCAAAAGAACAAGCAGUGAGAACACACAUUAAAAAGGGUAAUUCAAAUGAGAUGUGUUCAAAGUACAAAAAAAUCGUACCUUCACCGUUCCAUCCAAGGAACAAGAGAACAGAAACUGAUCCCAGCAUAACAGUGACAUAACAACCGAUUCAUGGCCUGUAAGGGUGUGCGUGCACUGGAAAGUUGCAAGGUCCCAAACCUGAAAGAAAAUCCUAAAAGUUAGAUCAUCUCAAUUCGUUUGAUAAUAGUAAAACAAAGAACUCAAAAUAUAGACUAAAAACCCACAUUCUAUGUAAAUGCUACAAUUUACAAGAGAUCCAGAAUCUAAGGCCCAGAUGAAAUAAACUAGUGGGAAUUUUUCACACAUCUUUGCAGUCAAGAAUUAUCAAAAAAACUCAAUAUUUAUAAUGUUAGUCCUGUCUCACACUUGCAUAGAGCUUCAAUUGAUUAUAUAAUGUGAAAUUCAACUCUAGUGAAGCCUUGGAUGCUAGCUUUGUAGAUGAAAAAGUUUUAACAGGACAACCUACAUAAAAAAACUUUCCUCUUGUGCCAAGCAAUCUAAGGCACAUUCUAUGUAAAUGCUACCAUUUACAAAAGAUCCAGAAUCUAAGGCACAUAUAAAAUAAACUAGUGAGAAUUUUCGGAGAUCUUUCCAGUCAAGAACUUACUAAAACCUUAAUAUUUAUAAUGUUAGUCCUAUCUACACUUGUAGAGAGCUUCAAUUGAUUAUAGACUAGAAAAUUCAAAUCUGGUGAAGCCUUGGAUGUUAGCGUUGUUGAUAAAAGAGUUUAACCGAACAAUAUACAAAAAAACUUUCCUCGUGCCAAGCAAUCCAAUCUUAAAACAGCUGAUAUUAUAGGAGCUUACAAAGUUGUGAAAUUUAGUACUGGAUCUGGAUGUGAAGAGUCGAAUCAACAGAAACCAUUUCCCAAACAUCAAUUGGUCAUAAAAUGAUUCUAUACAUAGACAAGUCUUGACGACCAAGAAAAAUAUCAACCAAGACCUAUUAUUUGAAAGGUAAAAAAAGGCUGAUGACUGAAUUAAUUUCAAGAUUUGAAGAUCUGAAACAUGUCACUCUAGAUGUGUUAUUUACCUACAUAUGAAAUCGACAGCAUAUAAACUAAAUAAGAUAAAUGUAUUGCAAGUUGAAACGAAUUCGCACACAUGAUUCAUAGGGCCAUUAAGGAAUAUCAGAAGGUAAAUACUGCUUCAGCAUAAAAGGAUAUAAUUAUUCAUGAUCAAUUCUAUUCAGCAUAACUUCCUAGGAUUUUUUAAGCACAUACGCAAGCAAGCAUCUUUUGGUUUGGAGGAUUGAUGGGAUUAUUCUGACUUACCCUAAUUGUACAGUCCAUUGAACCAGAGUAGAGCCGGUGUGCUCCUACAAUGAAUGAGAAUACAGCUUUUUUAUGCCCACGAAGUGUGGCAGCUGGCUUAAAGCAGCACUUAUCUGAUUAGGCUUCCAAGCCCAAAUACUUCCAUCCUGCAGCAACAUAACACAAUUCACAGAAAUUUUGAAUUAGAUUUAUACUCCAUCACAUAGAAACAUCAUUGUGCCCAAAAAAAAAAAAGGAAAAAGGAAAAAAAAAGGCCAAACAAAGCGACAGGUUUGUAAGCAUAACCAAUUAUAAGAUUGUAAAGAAAAUUACCUCUGUCCCAGCAAAGAGUGUGUUGUUGCCUACUAUCAAGGCAUAGACCUGACCCUUGGGUCCUUCAAGGGUUACAUCAAUGGAUGCUUGCAAGUUCCAAGCCUGCGCAUUUGCAAAAAGAUAGAUAUAACUAAAAUAAAUCAUAGAGGACAAAUUUUCUUGAUCAUGCGCGUUUAACAGAUUUACAAGUAAAAGAAUCUACAACUCUCACCUUAAAAGCAUUAGGGACCCCAACAAGAACCCCUGCCCCUCACUGAUGAUGCAACCGACUUCACCUUCCAUGGUAACAACUUGGACACACUGCAGAAAACAGAUUAUCUAUUCAUCAAAGGGAACAACAAAAUCUCAGUUGGUCAGAGAUAGGACUGUCAAAAACCAAAAGCUAACCUGUCUUGUCCAACAGUCCCAGAUUUUGACAGUCUUGUCGUUGCUCCCAGAAAACAGCUUCCCAUACCCAGACACCAUUGUAAUACCUGUAACAGCCUGCAAAAAUUAGCUUAUCAGAUACAACAACAACAACGAGAAAGAAAGAAAGCAGCAGAACUGAGGAAUUUCUAAGAUUGAAGCCAUUGAAUGUUACCUUGCUGUGUCCCCCAAGACAGGCCAACAAGGAGAAGCUAUCACUAAUACACCAAGAAUGUUUGUCCCGGCAACUCUCACCAUUGCUACAAUUCCCAGAGAUGAAGUUUUUGCAGAUCACUUCUCUAGUGUUGCCACAUAGACGAGCUUCUCCCUCAUUAAUUUCCUUAGAAUCCUUAUUGGUAGCCACAGCGGGGGCCUUUGCAUUGCUCCCAAGGUUGCUAUCACAGACAUCCUCCACAGAACAACCAUAGUGAUUCAGGGGCACAGCUUGGGGCUUCGCAUUGCAUUGUUGAUUUAUCUUGCAGAUUCCUUUUGAAGAAGGGACGUUUGGUUUACUGUUGGCAUUAGGUUUUAUUUCCCCAGAACCACCCUUUCUGGUGGCCACAGUACAGGUCUUCCCAUUUACUUCUACAUUCCUAUCGCAGGCUACCUUCGGAGUAGAAACAGAACGAUCCACGGCCACAGCGGGGCACUUCAUCAUGCAGACUCUUUUCGGGGAGGGGGCAGAGGGUUUAGGGCCUGCACUAGGGUUUCUCCAGACACGGCCCGUACCCUGGUGGCUCUUCUCGACAGGAGGCACCAAAUGAUCAGGCCCGACAGAGUGCUUCCGCAUAGACCCGACAUUUGGAUGCUGGGGCACUCCGUGAAGGAAAGGGCACGGGUGGCGGGUGCAGCGCCCGGCCUUCCAGUAGAAGCAGACCUUGAUGGUGCUGGAACCAUUAGUCAACGGUACCGUCCCUCAGGCGCUUUUCUUGAAUCCGUAGCGCUUAGCUUCUAUAGAUCCAUCCGAAUAAUAAAAGAAGACGACCAUCAGAAUCAGCCGAAACAUAUGAUCCAAAACCCUCAUCUUGAGCCUUCUUCCAGGUUGUAGACAGGGCGUACGCGAAGAAGAUCAUCAAAAUCAGACGAAAUAAAAAAAAAAAUCAAAACCCUAACGUUCCAACAUCCUCUCGGUAAAGACGAAACCCUUGGCUUCAAGCUUCUUCUGGGAUGUAGAAAAGGCAGUUACGAAGAAGAUCACCAAAACUAUAGAUCCAAAACCCGAAUCUUGCAACUUCGUCUAGGUAGAAACGAAACAUAAUUCCCAAAACCCUUGGCUUUAACCUUCUUCUGGAUGUAGGAAAUGCGGAUAAGAAGAAGAUCACCAAAAUCAGACGAAACAUCGAUCAAAAAACCUAAUCUUGCAACUUUCUCUAGGUAGAAACGAAACAUAAUUCCAAAAACCCUAAGUUUGGACCUUCUUCUGGGAAAUGCGUAGGGCGAAGACGAAGAAGAUGAUCAAAAUGAGAUAAAACAUAAAUCCAAAACCAUAGUUUUCCAACAUCUCCUUGGAUACGAGACAGUGUGGCCCCGAUUUGCAAAUCCGUAGAAGUUAAAGAGCAAGAAUCGAUUCCAGAAAAAAUUCUAACUCUGCAACUUCGGGGCAUUCGAAUUUCAAACCCUAAAUUUGGCGACUUGUGCGGAGAAGGAGAAAGGCGAAGAAGAACGAGAGAUCGCCGCGGGUUCAAACCUGAGCGCUCCGAGGGAUUCACCAUAGCCAUGGUCGCCAUGCGAGGAGCUCUCAAGCGCUUUCUCUCUCUAUCGAUUAGGGUGUGUUUGGAUCCUUUUAAAACUACCCUGAAAAUUUUUGACGUUUGGUGGUUACUCGUAAAAAUUACAAAUUCGACGGAAAGGAGACGAGAGCGGAACACGAAAGCAUAAAACGCGGCGUUUGGGGGAGUUUCAUCACGCGGUCCACGAGGUUCACUCCACCUCGUGGACCGCGUGAGAGAGGUCCACGAUGGAUCUCUGUGUGGUCCUCUCUCCUCUUCUAUUAUGUGUGUGUACAUACAUAUUGUAAUGCAAAUACACAUACCAAAAAUUUUAAAAUUUGAAUCAAAAUUUGAAUGAAAAUUUUAAUACCUUUUAAUUUAAGAUACAUAUUUAAAUUUUGAGUUCCUCUGAAUUCGAUAAAAAUACAAAAAUAUUCAAUGUAAAAAAUUAUUCAAUAUAAAAAUAAAUUAAAACUUUGAAUUUAAGAUGAAAUAAAAGUUUAAAAUCAAAUAAAGAUUAAAAAAAUAAAUCUAUUUUUCUUAUUAGAAAAUAUCUAUCAUGUCCUACCUCAAAUUUCAAUGAUUGCUGUCGACUAUAUAUAUAAUUAUAAUUAUAAUUAUAUAGUUCUACUAUUUUUUAAUAUACAUUUAAUAUUUUUGUAUAUUAUUUGAAUUCUGACGUACCAAUUUGUCCGAACUUAAAAAAAAUUAAGUAUAUGUUUUAAACUAAAAGUACCGAAAAUUCUAAUUCAUAUUUAAUUUAAAAUUUAUUUUUUAUCCACUUUACUUAAAAUUUCUUAAUUGUUAAUUUAAAUUUGAUAUCCCAAAAAAAAAAAAAUGUAAUCCACAAUUUAAACUCAGAAUUUUAAUUUUAACUUAAAAAUUUUAUAAAUUCAAAUAUAAAUCUUAUAACUAAAUUUGUUUGUGCAAGAAAAAAGAGAAAUAAAAAAUUUUAUUUUCGCCAAAAAGUGGGUCUAUCAAUAGACCCAAAUUCAAAAUAUGCAAUCAUAUUUACUAAUUAAUUUAGAUUUAAACAUAAAAUUUAUAUAAAAUAAAAUCUAAAUUUGUAUUUUAAAUUUAAAUAGUCAAUGGUAGCAUGAGUCUAUUUUUCAAAUAAUAUAUUUUCUAAAUUUGAUUAGUUUCCAUUUAUUUUUAGUUUGUUAAUUAUGAUUAUUCAUUUAUGUUUAAAAUAUGUAGGAAAUAUUCUUUUUGUAGUAUCCCUGGUGUUUUGCAGCCGUGAGAUUUCAGCAUCUGAGGCUUGUCGACACAUCUGGAGAGUGUCAAAACAAGUUCGAGUCGUUUUGACGUGAAAUGGACCCAAAAGGGACUCAGUGUGACGCGAGAGCAGGAUUUUAGCACUGAAAUCUGCAAAUUGCAUGUUUUCAGCAUUGCGUACCGGUACCACACAGGGGCAUACCGGUACCCCAACGUAUUCUACGAACUGCUGCUCUCGGGUUGCAAAAUCUGAUGCUGGGUAUCGGUACGGCAUCGGCCUGGUACCGGUACUCCAUGGUAGUAGGUGAGGGGCCUUUUGGUCUUUUGAUGCCUCGUUGUUAUCACCUUCUCCUCCACCGCUUAUAUAGAAUAGAGAGGCUGAGAGGGAGAGUUUUGUUUGCUAUUUCUUCUCUCUCUCUAAGGUGGAGCCGUACGCAUGGUGGAGGCCACGGCUUGAGCUCGGUUCGACGUCGACUUUGCGCCGAGGAGCCGUUUGAGCACGCGAGCGUCGUAGUUGCAUCGUUAGGAGGCCGGGCGAGCGCAUGGUUCCUUUCUGUCGACUUCUCGCCGGAGUUGGAUUAGCUCUUUGAGGUGGGUUGAAAUUUACCAAAAUCGUCGGUUUUCCUCCUAAGCCGGAGUUGACAGCAUGUAUUUUUGUUUCGGAUAUCAUGUUUAGUAGCUCGAUUCGUCGAUUUGCAUUAUUCUUAAAUGAAAUCUGAAUUGGAGCUUUGAAUGCUAGUUUUAUUAUAUAUGUUGCACUUGGAUUUGACUUAAGAGAAAACUAUAAGUUCUACACUAUCAUUUUCUGAAAACUAACAGAUUUAGCUUUAGGAGCUGUAAUUAGUUUGUAUUGCCGCAGUUUGUACGCGGUGGAUAUACAGAAUAGUGUAGAAUGAAUUUACGCUCGUGCUAGGAUGCCGAAUUUUUUUUUUACAGUAGUGUAUAGACUGUUCCGGACUGUCGGGUGCCGUCGCAGUUGACGGUGGAUCCAGAUUUCUGUAUUUUAUAUCAGAUUGUGUCGAGGGCACGUGAGUUAUAGUUAUUAGACCAGUUAGACCCUUCUGCUUUGACUAUAGCCUGUAAGAGUCUGAUUGAACUCGGCAGAGAUACGCUUGCAUACUCGGUUGAGUAGCGCCCACGAGUGCCACUCCGGAGUCGGGUUUUGUGCUUUUGCGUUGUUGUCGUUGUGUCCUAGUUGGAUUCGCUCUCCACUGACCACCCAGUGUGGUGAUAGUAGUAUAGCUUCGACGGGCGGGACGGAUGUGUUCACAGUCCCUAGUGAGAUUAGGUAAGAGAUUGUAUUUUUCUACAGAUAGUUAGUAUUAGAUCGUGAUAGUAUAGUGGCAUAUAGCUGUAGAAUUGUUUCAGCUUUCUUUACUAUCCUUGAGCAUACUUCUGUAGACUUAGUGGGUAAGUUGUUGAGGUCGGUAACGGUACCCACUGAAGACUACUUUUUGCAGUAGUUUCUUCUUCGACUGCUGCUGUUGCUGAUCCUGAUCGUGGAAAAGGAGUCGCGAGCUAGAUUCCUUCCAGUUUUGUUGUUGCUUUAGAGGAGUACNUCAUACCCAGUUGUUGACUCCUUUUUGCAGAGUUUUCUUCUUCGACUGCUGCUGUUGCUGAUCCUGAUCGUGGAAAAGGAGUCGCGAGCUAGAUUCCUUCCAGUUUUGUUGUUGCUUUAGAGGAGUACCAGCUACAGGUAGUUUUGAGUUUUUGGGUCAUAUACAUACUAAUGUUUAAUCCUCGUUGGAGCGAGUGAUGUUGUAUCGAGAGGCUAUGUAUGUAUAGUAAACCCUAUAUUUAUUUAUUUAUGUUUACCGUUUUGUUAGCAGCUCUAUACUACUGGUUGUAAUUUUGUAUGAUUACAGGUAUAGGUACAACUCUCGCUUUGUAUACAGAAAAAUUUUCUUUGUAUACGACGGAUUUGUCGGUGUGCCCGAAAAAACGAGUAAUCCAGGGCGUGAUACUUUUGUUCAAUCUAAGGUUUUGCCUAUCGAUUUCUAUCAAUUUUUAUAUAUAGUAAAGAUAUAGAUAUAGAUUAAUAUAUAGUAUAAAUAUUUGAAAUUAAUGUUGAAAAUGUUUAGUAAAAAAGAAACGGCUAUAUAUUUUAAAAAAUAUUAAUUCAAUUAUGAGUUUAAAAUAUGAUAUAAAAAUAUUUAAUAAAAAGAGAAAGGUUAUACAUUAGAGAAUUUAAAUAUAUAUUUAAAAUUAAAUGUUAAUUUGAGUGUGUUUCAAUUAUGACAUAAAAAUAUUUAAUAAAAAAGGAAAGGUUAUCUAUUAGGUAAGAAGCUAAAAUAAAGGGGCAAUUGCUUAUAUACCCCCGAAAAAUUUUCGACUUGCUGAUUUACCUCUCUUAGAAGGCUAAUAUUGAAAAUACUGUUUCUACGUUCCAACCUAUUUCAAAUAUAUUAUUAGAGUUAAAUUCUGUUAAUGGACUAUUAAAAAUAGAUGUUAUCUAUGUGAAAUUAUUAUUUUACCCUUUCAAAUAUACCCUUCCAUCAUUACCGACUUUUCUUAUUUGCCCUUAAGUUAGGAGAAUAAAAAAUAUUUUGAUUUUUGGUUUUUUCUACCAUCACCAAUAUUUUUUAUUUGCCCCUAAAUUAAGGACGAAAGAGGUAUUUUGAUUUACUCUGGUGAAUAUUUAACUACCGUUUAACUCAAGUUAACUUAACGGGUAGUAAUUGUAAGAAUAUUUUAGAAUAACAGAGGAAUAUAUGAGAAGUAUAUUAGAAAGAAAAAAAAAUAGUGUUAAAUGAGAUAUUUUUAAAGUUUGGAGGGAUUUGCCUAUAUAUUUUAUUAAAUGAAAUUACUUAAUUUGAAUAAAGUCAAACAUUGAGGAUCUAGGGAUGUGAAUUCAAACAUUGAGAGGAUCUAGGGAUGUGAAUUCAGAAAAGUAAUGUUGAGGGGAUACAUUUUAACCCACCUUCUAGGACUUUCUGUUAAAUAAUCUAAUAAAAAUUUUAUUUAAAAAUAAUCUUUUCAAAAUUUUUUUGGGCUAAUGUUCUUGGUCCUUUAAAUGAAAAGACAAAGGACCGUCUGUAGCCGGCAUAAUAAAUUUAAAUAAAAUCAUUUUGUUUAAUUUGUGGAUUAUGUGUGGAUUGGUAGAUUUUUUGUCAAAUUGUUAGUAUAGAUGUUUUAAAAAAGGACAAAAUUUUUUUACCAUAUCAACACGUCAAAGAAAUGAUAUACAUAAUUCACUUUCUAGUUACAAUCUUAGUGCGAUAAAAGAUUUAUCAUUUUUUUAGGGUAAACUUUAAAUACCACUUCUAUAGUUUCACAUUUUUUCUCUUUAAUAUCCUGUGAUUUAAAGUGUAUCAAAUUAGUGUCUUGUGGUUUCAUUUUUAUCUUUUCAUCAGCUUCUCCGUUAAUAUUUCAUUAAAUUACAUAUAAAAAACUUCAGAUAUCCCACCUAGAUUUAUCAAAUAUCCACUUUAGUACCAUUUAGUUUUAACUUUGUCACUGAUUUAACGAAAAAAAUAGUAAAAUCGAUAAUAUAAAGAUAAAAAUAAAACUACAUGAUAUUAAAUUGAUACACUUUAAACCAUAGGAUAUUAAAGUGAGAAAAUAUGAAACCACAUAGAUGGUAUUUGAAAUUUUUUUUUUUUUUUACAUCUCAUAUUUACGUUAUUUACGAUCUUCGCAUGAUAUGAGAUUUAUCAUUUUGUCGGCUCUCAUAUUUACGUUAUUUACAAUCUUCGUGCAAUAAAAGAUUUAUCAUUUUUACCUCUCAGAUUUACUAUAAUAAAAUUAUGGAACAACUCCUUAUAUAUAUUCAUGAAAUAUUCUACAUUUUUUUUUGUUUACAACCCCCCUCCCCUGAAGGCUAAUAUAAAAAAAUAUUUUUUAAAUAUUUUAAAUUCAUUUAAAUAUACUCAUAUAAUUAAAUUCUAUUAAUGAACAAUUAGUAACAGUCGUUAUAUCUGUGAAAUUAUUAUUUUGUCCUUUCAUAUAUAUCAUUUUAUUAUCGCCAAUUUUUUUUAUUUAUGCAUAAUUUAGAUAUAAAUUUUUUUUUUUUAACUUUUUGCUUUUUCAAAUAAUAUAUCAUUUUCUUGUCACUAACUUUUCUUAUUUGUUAUUAAUUUAUAAACAAAAGAAAUAUUUUGUCUUUUUAAAAUUCUAAUAGAAAUUUAAUCUAGAUUUAGCUCGAGAUAAUUUAACCGUGACUAACAGUUGGGAUAUUUUGAAUAUUAAAAUUAUAUACGAGAAAUAUAUUUGAAAUAAAAUACAUAAAAAUUAUAUAAAAUAUUUUAGGGAAACUUCAAAUACCCCCUGUGGUUUCGCACUUUUUUCACUUUAGUAUUCUGUGGUUUAAAGUGUAUCAAGUUAGUAUCCUGUGGUUUCGCACUUUCUCACUUUAGUACCCUGUGGUUUCAAGUGUAUCAAGUUAGUACUAUGUGGUUUUAUUUUUGUAUUAAGUUAGUACCUGUGGUUUCAAUUUUCUCUUUUUAUUAUCUAUUUCGGUGUAUAUAAUUUAACAAAAUAUUGAACCACAGAUUACUAGAGUGAGAAAGUGCGAAACCACGGGUACUAACUUGAUACACUUGAAACCACAAGGUAUUAAAGUGAGAAAGUGCAAAACCACAUAGUGCUAACUUGAUACACUUUAAACUAUAGGGUACUAAAGUGAGAAACUACGAAACCAUGUGGGGUAUUUGAAGUUUCCCUAAUAUUAUUUUAUAUGCUUGGAGGGGCACAUAGGUACUUCUCUCUGAAAAAUUUUAUAAGAUUAUUUUCAAAAAUAGCCCUAUAUUCGUUACCGCUAUGGCGCUAUUCACGAACCGAUAAGAAGGCAGGUCUACGUCAGUGUGAGCGAAUAUCUCUAUCUCUAUUUUGUCUCUUCCUCUCUCUCUCUCUCUCUCUCUCUCUGUCUCUCUCCUCUUCCGCUUACACUAUAUCCGUCUGCAUCUCACCGGCAUUCCUUCUCUUCCUGUCCAAAACCAUACAAAGAAACAGAACCAGAGAGAGUUUGUGAGAGAGAGAGAGAGAGAGAGAGAGAGAGAUGGGGAAAGGUGGCGAAGGAUUCGAGGGGAAGGAGCAGAACAUGGCAGCCUGGCUGGUCUCGAUUAACACCCUCAAGAUCCAACCCUUCGAUCUUCCUCCCCUCGGUAUGUCUUCUUCUUCUUCAUCACUUCUGCCAUCUACUCCUCCCUAGCUAGCCCGGAUUUUGAAUAUGAAAAUAUUAUAAAUUACUGUUUUGAUUUGGCAGCUCAAAAGCUUUUAGAGUAAUCGAUUAUUUCAUAAGAUAUCUGCGUAGAGGGUUCUGAGUUUAAUUCUCAUAUAAGCUUCUAAUUUUAUAUUCAUUCUAUUUUUUUUUUUUUUGUAUAAUUUAACUCGGUGUUUUCGGUCCAUCAAAAAAAUGUCGAGCGGAGAUGUACCGGAGGUGAUGAAUAUAAAAGAUGUGGAUAAAUGUACAAACAACUGCGGAAUUUUAGAGCUUUGAUAAAUAUUCCUCUAGAAACCCUCUAAAUUUUAUCAAAUAGUUAAAUAGGUCCCUUUCCGAGCAAAAGUUACUAAUUAAAUAACCAUUUUCGGCAAUUUCUUAUAUGUGAUCUUGUAAAGCUUUAAAACACAGGGAACCCUUUCUUUCCUAUUUUAACCCUAUUCUUGAAUUCUGAUGUUUUAUGUUAAUCCAUGAGGGGAGAAGAAGGAGGGAGGCGGGGGUUGGUUGCAUUUUGAAGCUUUACAAGUAGAUCUGUAAGAUGUGCAUCAUCACAACUUUGCAAUUAGUAACUUUGUGUUUUGAGAAGAAGAACCAAUUAAACUAUUUGAUAAAGUUUAAGGCACGUUCUAUACAUAUUUUCGUAAUUGCGUAGGCUUUUAAAAACAAACAGUUAUUUCACUUAUUCACUGUUCAUGAUCCUUUCUAUCUCAUAUAUACUAUACAUAAUGAAUUAUCUAGUUUUUUUAAAUUGUUUUUUGUUCCGGGUUUUGGUGGCCCUUGUGUUGGUAAGAAGUUGCAGAUUCAGUACAUGUUGGUGUUCUUGAUUUCCUGUGUUAGAAAAUAGUCAAUCAAGGGUUCUUAUGCAUCUUGUCUUAAAUUAUUAACUCUUUUCUGCACAAAAUCGAAUUUUGUUUAGGCCCUCAUGAUGUCCGAGUGCGGAUGAAAGCUGUGGGCAUUUGCGGCAGUGAUGUUCACUACCUCAAGGUUCAUCUUUCGUCUUUGUACCUUUUUAUUCUAAAACCCUCUUUUCUUAAUAUCAAAUUCAUCUCAUUUUAUUGCGGGCUCAAAGAACACUGAGUUUCAUUAUGAACAUAGAAAGCAAUAGAUUCUCUUCCUGACUUGACAUUUCGUCGCCUUGCGUAUGUUGUUUCGUCCCAAUCACUCCUUUUGAAUGUUUGAAAUUAAUGGGACUGAAAACCGAUAAUCUUCGAUUUCUAUGAAAUACAGCAUAUGAGAUGUGCCCAUUUUAUCGUCAAAGAACCGAUGGUUAUUGGGCAUGAAUGCGCUGGAGUGAUAGAAGAGGUGGGCAGUGAAGUUAAGUCGCUUGUGGUGGGCGAUCGUGUUGCAUUAGAGCCGGGAAUCAGCUGCUGGAGAUGCAAACAUUGCAAGGGAGGCCGCUAUAAUCUAUGCACUGACAUGAAGUUUUUUGCCACUCCCCCUGUUCAUGGUUCUCUCGCUAACCAGGUUUUGUUGAAAGAUCUUUCUCUUGUCACGUAUCAUCCUUCUUAUUUGCCAGAAUCAUAUUCAGUGUACCAAAUAUUACCCAUAUUUAGUCAAAUUUAAUCACUAGUGCACCUAGUAGUAGAUAAAUUUGUUUUAGGCUUUUUUUUUUUUCCAUAUUUUUGUUGUUCAGAGAGAAAAGAAAAAGAGGAAUUUGGAAUAAGAAAUCCUUAUCGUCUUUGAAGUCACUGUAUGUUAGGUGUGUCUCAAGUUCUCAGAUUUGACCCUCUUCAUGUUGCAUCCGACAAUUUAAAGAGAAAAGCAAAGGGAAAAUUCUGUUGGAGGCUUGCGGUGGAAGUAUGGAGACGGCUUGGGCAAAUGUAGAUGGGUUUCUUUGUUUGUUGGGUUUUAUACACCCUUUCUUCUGAUUCUUUUAAUGGCUUUUGAGUGACAGUUAUUUUUUGUACUCUCCACUUUUGAUUGUAGUGAAAUCUCACUGUGUCUUCACCUGUGAACAUAGCCUUCAAAGCUGAACCAUCUAAAUAGAUUGUGUUCUCUUCUGAACUUCAAUUUCUUGAUUCUUUUUGGUGUUUGCAUCCAACACACUUUAGGAUUAGGACCGGGCUACCAUAAUAGAAUAUGGAAUUGUUGUGGGAAAAGCUAUUUCAAACUCCUACCUGCUUUCGUUCCAUUAUUAACUGGAGGCUUCACUUUAAGCUUUUCUUUCCAUAAUACUCAUACUUUUACAUUGGGAUUAAUGAAAUAUAUCUGUAACUUUAUUUUGACAGAACUAGAUUAGGAUACAUGUGACUCUAGCAUCAAAGAUAUGUCAGCAAGUAUGAGUUUAAACUUUUUCUUAUGUUUACCUAGGUGGUGCAUCCUGCUGAUUUGUGCUUUAAGCUUCCUGAUAAUGUGAGUUUGGAAGAAGGUGCAAUGUGCGAGCCCCUUAGUGUUGGAAUCCAUGCCUGUCGCCGAGCGGAGAUUGGUCCAGAGAAGAAUGUCCUUAUCAUGGGAGCUGGGCCGAUAGGCUUAGUCACAAUGCUAGCAGCUCGUGCAUUUGGUGCUCCAAGAAUCAUUAUUGUCGAUGUAGAUGAAUAUCGUCUUUCAGUUGCAAAAUCUCUUGGUGCAGAUGAUGUUGUUAAAGUCUCUACCAGCAUGCAGGUUCCACUACCUAUUUUUUCUUAUUUUAUUGCAGCCCCAUUAAUUAUGGCAUUUUCGCCGGCAUGAUUUUCUGUUUCAACAUGUUCUUUCGGUUGUUUAGUUAAACUUUUUAGUUAAAUUGCAAGGCAACUAUAAUUAGCUGUUUUUUCCACUGUUAUAUUUAAAAUAUUAAAUUCAUUGCUCGUCCCUUGUCUUGCUCUCUGUUUCAUUUGUUUACACCUUUAUUGUAGAAAAUCACAUUUCUAUAACCUGUUUUCUCCAUGUUGUACUUCAUUUUCAUAAAUCGAGUUACAUUUGAAGAAUGUCAAAUGGGUUCAUGAAUUUCUAGAAAAUAGACCAUGAACGAAGUGUGCGAAUUGCCUUAGAGAUGUUAUAGCUAAGUUAAAAGGAGCGAGCUGAGCAUCAAAUAAUAAGGUUUGAAAGUAAGAGUAAUUAAUGGUUGUAAGACUUCCAUUGCUCAAACAAUUGAUAAUUAACUCUUUUUUUUAAUCUUGAGAAAAUAUGUGAUAUGUUCUUGUUAACCCAGAAGUAGGGCUGGCAAACGAGCGAGCCGGCUCGCGUUCGACUCGUGUUCGGCUCGAUAUUCGGCUCGCUCGAGCUCGACUCGAAAUUAAAUGAGCCAAGCUUGAACAACAUAAAAGGCUCGAAAUUCAUUUCAAGCCGAGCUUGAGUAUUACUCUGCUCGUUCGAAUUAGGCUCGAAAAGCUCGAAAAAAAAAAUAUAUAUAUAUAUAUAGGCCGGGGCUACUAUACUCUUAUGAGUAUAGACCCCCUUGUACUCAUAAAUUUUUAACCGUNAUAUAUAUAUACAUAUAUAUAUACAUACAUAUAUAUAUAUAUACAUACAUAUAUAUAUAUAUACAUACAUAUAUAUAUAUACAUACAUAUAUAUACAUAUACAUAUAUAUACAUAUACAUAUAUAUACAUAUACAUAUACAUAUAUAUAUAUAUAUAUAUACAUAUACAUAUACAUACAUAUACAUAUACAUAUACAUAUAUAGGCCGGGGCUACUAUACUCUUAUAAGUAUAGACCCCCUUAUACUCAUAAAUUUUUAACCGUUGAUUGAUGGGAUGUGGUUAGGAUGAUGGUGGUCCCCACUUAGAAUGAUAGUGGUCCCCUAGAGUUGAGUGGGUAGUUGGUUAAAUAGUAUGAUCUAACGGAUGAAAAUGAUUAAUGGAAUAAAUUUAAGGGUCGAAAACUUAUGAGUAUAAAGGAGCCAAUACUCAUAAAAGUAUAGUAGCUGAACUCUAUAUAUAUAUAUAUAUAAUAUUUAUAAAUAUAAUGUAUUUUAAUUAUAUAUAGGCUUUAAUUUAAUUUCGGCCACUAUUGUUGGCCCAUAAAAUAAACCCAACAAGUACAAACGUACAAUUGAGCCCAACUCUAAAUUUACAUAACACUUUCACUGUUGCACAUAACCCUAAAACAUGAUAACAUUCAAAUUUUCAAAUUCCUACUUUUUUUCCUCUCUCUCUCUCUCUCUUUCUCUCUCUUUCUUAGACCCUCAUCGAGUCAGGAAGUCACCCUAGCUCACAUUUUUUAUAAUUAUUUUGUAUUUUGAAUUAUUGGACAUGUUGCAUCAAAUUGUAGAUAAUGUUCUAUAAAAAUUAAACUAUUGAUUAUAUAAUGUCGAGAAUUUCAAUCGGCUCGUUUAGAGCUCGAGCUCAGCUCGACUCGAAAUUAGGCUCGCUCGAGCUCGGCUCGAAUUAAUUUCAAGCUGAGCUUGAGCCUAGAUUUAGGCUCGAANUAAAAAUUAAACUAUUGAUUAUAUAAUGUCGAGAAUUUCAAUCGGCUCGUUUAGAGCUCGAGCUCAGCUCGACUCGAAAUUAGGCUCGCUCGAGCUCGGCUCGAAUUAAUUUCAAGCCGAGCUUGAGCCUAGAUUUAGGCUCGAAAUUAAUUUCAAGCCAAAUUUGAGCUGACAUAAGCUCGCUCGAGCUCGGCUCGUUUCCACCCCUACCCAGAAGGUCAAUCUGUUAUCAGUCUUUCCAGAGUGGAAUCAUGAUAUUAACACCUAUUUACACAUACCUCCUGAAGAUGAGACCCAGUACGCACCUAGCAGCGACAAAUAAUUUGAAAUAUGGCUGAGAAAACCUAUUAUAAAGUGCCACACUGGGCGACUAUGGCACAAUUCAUGAAGCAGAUGGCCUAGAAAUGGGUUCUUUUAUUGUGCAUAGCUGACCUAUUGGGAAAAAUAUUAAAAACGCGUCCUUGAUAGUUCACAAAUUAAUGCAUUGUUCAGAAGCUUAAUAUUUUUGUCAUCAUAUGAUGGACGCAUUUCAACCCUGAUAUUAGUUGGCAUCUUUCAUAAUCACGUUAAAGAUGCACCGGCACUCAACCAAGGUUUGCAACAGCCAACUAUUAAUGUUUUGUUUAGGCUUGUUUCGAUUUACGAACAUUUUGUUCAAGAUACUACUUUUGUUUACUUCGUAUAUGCUGCCUUUAUGCCAUUUUUUCUUGGCAAAUGAUGAAUCACUCCAUAGCUGGAGUGAUUCGUCCUGAAAGAUCAAAAUUAUGGUGGCCUUGCAAUGGGACUAAAAUCAAGCUUUUAAUUGCAAUCACAAAAGAAUAUCCCUAUAAUGCACAAGUUGUCACUUGCUAACUUGUUCUUACAUCUAGAUAGGCCCUAAGUUCGGCCAAAAGCAUCAGAUAUACUUUCUACUUCAACUAAAUCUUCUGCUAUCUGCCUUCAGACACAUGGAUGCAAUUCAAAUAUGAUUUGACUUUCCAGCACAGCCUACAGUUUGCAUUUUUCAGAGUAUGAUAUACUUUUCUUUAACGCGAAUUAGAAAGUGGGAUAUAGAAUGCUAAGUCUUUACUGUUGGUUGUAGAGAAUGAUGAUGUAAGAGUGCCAAAUCUUUACAGUUGAUGGUUCUAGUUAUUUGUCUUCUUUCUCUUGUGGCAUUUACAAAAUCCUUUUAUGUGCUAUGUUGUUCACUCCUUGUUCAUUUAUUUGAUAUGUAAAUAAUUAUAUUAUAUUUGAAAUUGGCUAGAAAGGCAACAAACUCGGGCUUAGGUGUUCGAGAAGAACAUCAUAAGAUCUAAGCAAGAGUUUAUAUCAUUCAACUUUGGUAAAAAUGAGAAGGCAUAUAGUAAAAAUUAAGUGAGAUUAUCAUGCUAUCCUGCUUCCUUAUUUCUCAAAACUACAUGAGAGACAUUUGAUAUCAUAUCAUUUUCUGGGAAUAACCUAUGUGAUAAGGCUUAAGGUUCUGGUCCUGUUUUCAAUUAUUACUGAGGUUUAUACUUCUCUUUUUUGGCAAUUUCCAAAAAACAUAAAAAGAAUGAGUACUGUACUCAAAUGAAAGCAAAAUUAAAUCAAAUCAAUAAUUUGCAGUGCAUAUGGAGAUAUGGAUAUGUUGUUUUAGGCAAUCCUUUUCAUUGUUAUGCCGAUUUUGGGAUGGAACAUAUAGAAAUGGUAAAGUGGGAUGAAGCAUUUGAAACAGCAUAGUAUCAAGAACAAGCAGUAGUUCAUAAUAAAAUGGUUCUACUGUUUUAAUCCACUUAAUUUUCAUAUGUAGGUAUAUCUUCAUGGAAUAUUCUUCAAAUAUGUGAUAUCACUAUUGUCCAUUUGUAUUUGCCUCCCUCGUUGCUACUGCCCGAUAAUUUUAGAGAAAUUUCAAUCAAUUGUUUUAUUAGAUAUUUGGUAGUGGCUGCAGGUUAUCAAAUACAUAUCUAAUUACAUGGAACUUUUUCUGAUAGAUCCUCUUAUUUUAGCAUUUGACAUGAAUGAAUUCUGUGAUCUUAAAUUUGUUGAAAUGAAAUGCACUAGAAUGCAAUUUGGAUUUAAAUUAUGUUUGUUAGGCGCACACAUGUCGGUUUGGGUUAAAAUUUUGCGAGAAUGGCAGCUGGUAGGAUGGUAGUGGGUACAAGUAGCGGUUUUAGCCUAAGCUCAUCAACUUGGAGAAACCUGAAACCAAUCCAGAGUUACCGGGAUUGGAGAUGCCCCUCUGAACCAUGAUCCAGAUUGCAUGUACAGAUUUGUGGUGGGUUCUCGAUCCGGAUCACAAAUAGUGGCGAAUCGGAACAGUAGAGAAGUAUUCGAUUUUUCUAGAUUAAUUUGUUUAGUUACUUAAAAGAAAUGUGCCUUACUAUAGAGAAUAAUACAAAAGAGUUAUAUUCGUAUGGAAAAAAAUUGAGGUGGUUUUUAGAGGAAGAGAGAAUACCCAAUCCGACCUUAAUGAAGAAAAAAACUAUACUGCAACAAAGGUAAGUUAUUGAGUUUCUUAUGUAUGUCAAUCUGUGUUGAUGCCCUAAACAAACUACAUUCCGGAAUAACGUUCUGACUAAUCCCAACCCCCUCAUACCGUGUUCCUAAGAAACUAGUGAGCCACGUUCCAGUACUUGUACCACACACAUGGCAUCCUGUUCAAAGUAACAUUGUACGAACCUACUUGAUUGGUGUUGAUCCAAACGGCAAAAAGGAUCUGUUUUAACGGAAAAAGAUCUAAUGCAAUAAAUCUUCUCUUCCGAUCCAUGCUGAAGCGGCGCAGCAAUUUUAUCCUCUUUAUACAAACUCAGCAGCAUACCAACAAUGUUCUGCUUAACUAGUUUCGAUGUUAUGUAUGAUGUCGUAGAAUGAAAAAUUGGAAUUUUGACUCAUGUCAAAUCAGCAUCAAACACUCACAUUGUACUGAAUAAUGGAUUUGUUUUCAUGUUGUUGCAAAUUCCUGCUUUCAUUUGAUUGAAGGAAAAGGACUACUUGAUCCCUGAAAAUUUUUUGCCAGGAAAAAUAUCCUCACACAUUGUUAAAGCCAAUCGAACCCUUUAUGUAAAGAAUAUGCUUUAAAACAUGUGUUAGAUUAACAGUCUAACAAUGAACAGUAAAACAGUUCAAUGGUACAUAUUACUUCGAAAUUGACAAUACAGAAACAGAUUCCAUAACUGUGUAAUAAGUUGCCACCUAUUUUUGUGUUAGUUUCUCAUUUCUCCUAUUUUGUUCAUUGUCUACUUUUUUUUAACCUAGCUUCCUUUCUUUUUUUAUUUUAUUUUAUUUUCACCUACUGCUUUAUGUGUUGCAAUAUAUAUCAGCUUUUGCCAUGGUUAACUUGGAGAUCUUCUUUUGUAUAGGAUGUUGAUGAGGAUGUUGUUCGUAUACAAGAGGUUAUGGGUGCUGAAGUUGACGUGAGCUUUGAUUGUGCUGGUUUGAGCAAAACUAUGUCGACUGCUCUUAGUGCUACUCGUGCUGGUGGUAAAGUUUGCCUAAUUGGAAUGGGCCACAACGAGAUGACUGUUCCCCUUACUUCAGCCGCAGCAAGGUACUAAACUUUCUUUCAGGUUGACCUUCAACUACAGCAUGAUACUAAACUUUCUUUUAUGUGACCUAAAAGUUAAGGUUAUGCGGUUAAAGAUAAGAACAUAGAUUCCUAUUUGUUACGGCUUCUAGAGCUACAUCUCUAUUUGGAAAAGCAGAAGCUUCUAGAAAACCAAGUGAAAUGAACUUCUGUGCUGAAAUUGAAGGCUGCUAUUUUGAAAAUCAUGAUGAAAAUCUAUUAAUGCAGCUCUUGUCUAGAAACACUCGCAGAAACUCCAGUCAGGCCAAAUAGGCCAUAAGGCUAUCUGACUCUUUUUUCUUUUUCUUUUUUUUUUUUUUUCUUUUUUUCCCUUCUCUCUCUCUCUCUCACCUUUAGGCAAAUUUAUCAUCUUGAAAAUAUGAGUUCUGUCGGAUUACUAAGAUAAUAAUGUGUUCCUUUUGGAUAGGGAGGUUGAUAUCGUCGGCAUCUUUCGCUAUAAAGACACUUGGCCUCUAUGCCUUGAGUUCCUCCGAUCUGGAAAGAUUGAUGUAAAGCCGCUGAUAACUCAUAGGUUUGGGUUCUCUCAGAAGGAGGUUGAGGAAGCUUUUGAGGUCAGCGCUCGCGGCAGUGAUGCAAUCAAAGUUAUGUUUAAUCUUUAGACUAUGAGCUAAGGUGUGCUUAAAGAGUGUAGCAGAGUAAGUCUCCCUUUGAUAUAGAAAUAAGAAUAAGUGGGUAUCGUGUUAAUUAUUAUCUGGAAACAUAUGUAACUGAGGAGUGGCUUUUGUUCGAAAGCUGGAACUCUCUUAUGGUAUGUAUUGUGCUCUUCUAGUCCUGUUUGAUAUUUUACUGGUUUUUCAUCUCAUAAUGAUGUUGCUGUUUACCCAUGGUCAUUGUUUCUGUUAUAUAUAAUUUAGGCCCCAUUCCAAGAACCUCUCAUAGCAAGUUAUAUAUAUAUAUAUAUAUAUAUAUAUAUAUAUAUAUAUAGUCUGAAAGCGGGGUUAAAUCGCCCCUUUAAUAUAGCUGCAUGCAGGUGAUCCAGAAUCCUCGACCUGUUGUCAGCGAUCGGGAUGUGUCCGAACAUACAUUCUUUUUAAAGUUGUUACUAGGAGUAUGAUCAUGGUGCUUUAUUGAAGCUGGUAAGUAGCUUAGCGACAUUUGACGUGAGUACCAUCUUCUGCAGGACGAAAAAGUCUCUUAAUUCCAUUUUCGCAUUACCCUAGUUGGAUUUGCUAUUUAAGAGUUGCCCUGGUUGGAUCUGCUAUUUAAGAGUUUUGUUACAUCACUUAGACUUCUUUUUUUAAUUCCGGUUGUUUUGUGUAUUUAGCCACUGUUUUUUUUUGUCAGCCGUAUUACUUCUAGCAGAGUAAGAUUUUCUCAGAUGUCUCGUGAAUCUGCCAAAUGCUUCCAUUUUGCAUAUUUAGGUAGGAAUUCUUCUGAUUAUGUACCAUUUUUUAUCAGUAUUUCUAUUUUUUUGCCUUGCCAGACCGAACCCACAACCAGCGAAGGAGCCAUUUGAUACCGAGACAUAUCUAACACUACUACUAGAUAAAACAAAAUUAGAGAAAGCAUAUAUAUAUAUAUAUAUAUAUGUAUAUAUAUAUAUAUAUAUAUAUAUAUAUAUGUAUAUAUAUAUAGAGAGAGAGAGAGAGAGAGAUAUUUGUAUUUCUCAAUGGGACUAUAAAAAAUAUAUUGUGAUCAAUUUAUUGUGAAAUAUGAAACCUUAUAUUUUGUAAGGAAACGACCAGAUAUCGAAGUUGGUGAUGUAAUUUAUGGAUACAAUAUGAAUUCUGCCAAUUAGAAAGAAUUAAUAAAUAUAUUUUCAUAUCAGUGUUGCUAUACUAUUGUAUAAUUUUUUAAGCGGGGAAAGAGGGUUGGAGUGUUUAUGUGGGUGGGGGUCGUCAUUAUCAUGUUAGGUAGGGGUCGAUGUUAUCAUGUUAUGGCCAGGGUUUGAGCCCACAUCCGCACAUUUGUGAUCUUCUGCCUUUGACUUUCAUCAGGUAAUAUUUGUUAGAAUAAUCUCUCUUUUCUUUUAGUAAAAUUUAUAUUAUUUUAAAAAUAUUUUAAAACAUAAAGUUUAUGUAAGUAUUUUGAAACGCAUGCAAGAACUAGUAACCAGGGACGGAGCCAUGUAUGGACCCAAAGGGGCCAUGACCCCCCUUAACUUUUUAAUAUUUAUUUUAUAGUCCUUUGGUAGCUUAUAAAUUUUUAGUUAAUUUUUAAAAUAUAUGGAUCUAUCCUGUAAAAAAAUUUUAGUGCUAAUAUAGAGCACUCUCUCUCUCUUUUUAUGUGUUUUAUAGGUGAAAAUAUACUAAGAACCUCUUAAUUAUAGUACAUUUUGAAAUAAGUUCUGUUAUGAGCCGAAUUCUCCAACCGUUGACCUGGUCAAAGAUUUCCUUUGGGAUGCGUGCUAGGAGUAGAUACGGUUGUACGCGGUGACCCUCGAAGUAUGCGCCCUUCGACUGAUCAAGCGAUUUCAGCCGAGUUCGAAACUCUCUACUACGGAAUCAGUUUGGCUGAAUGAACCGAAUAGGAUACUGUACAGUGGUUUUGGAUCAGCCGACGAGCUGAAUGGCCUUUAUAAAUUAAAACUUAAAAUAUUGAAUUCGUACAAGAGAGAGUGUGCCUGUAAGGUAUUUAGAUUCUAGAAAUCUAAAUUAAAGACUAUUCCUAGGAAAUGCAAGAAAAGAAAGAUUAUUGAUAUACUACUCCUAAAAAAGCAAGGAAAAUGCAUGGAAAUAGAAAAGGUGGUCUUCUAUUUGCUGGGAAAAGACCCCUCUUCCAGGCGUUACUCGCCUAUUUAUACUCCGCGCAUUGUUAUUCAGUUAUGUACACGAUCGACCACUUUUCUGAUUUCGUGGGCAACUACAAGCCGAUCCUAACCGCUCAAACCGCUUGUGGUUAUAUUGUGAUUUACUUUGUGCUCCUGGUGCACCACAUCAAGUUUUAGAAUCCCUAACGAGCCGAGUGCCAAUUUUCCACAUGGCAUUUUAUUGGCGUCAACAAUUGCCCCCCUGGCAGCUCCCGAACAGACAGUUCGGUAGCUAACGUAAACUCUUCCAAGGCGCGAAUUUCGAAAUCAUUAUUUCGAAUUGCCUUGUACCAUCUUCUCUUAGCCGUUCUUUCACCUUUGACGGCCACGAUCUCCUACACAUUCCUUUUUGUCUCUUAUGCGGCAUUUAUUUGGUCAUUUAUUUCCGCUGUCUCGUCAUCAUUAAAGCCGUUUUCAGAAUUCCAUUUGACGGCCCUUUUCUUUUUGUCUCUUUUGUUUUCUUCUUUCCUACGCUUCCCUUUUCCUCUCUUCUUCCUUUGUUUUUCUUUCUUCUUCCUUUUCGCCCGAGAAUCCCUUUCUUCUUUCGUCUUCUCCAUUUUUUUUUUUCGUCGCCUCUAAUGGCUCCGCUUUCUCCUCUUCCUUCUUCUCCAUCUCUCGAUUACACUUUUCUUAGACAAUAUGUUGGGUCGGACCCUUCUCGAUUUAUUUUAGAUUCCUCGUUUACAAUGACCCUAUCCUUGAGGAUUUCUUUUUCUCAAGUGAGGGUCUUCCUUUAAUGGUUGAUGCCAUUCAUCUCCACUCUUGGUAUGCUUCAACUUCGACGAGAAAAAGCCUUCAGACUUGGCCGAGUGUUUCGGAAGCAUAUCUUGCUUGGUUGGAUCGGGUGGAAGCGUUGUAUGCCGCCGAUCUCUGGCGCGAGAUUGAGAUUUAUGAAGCCAUUCAAUUAUCUCGAACACCUUCCAUAGCCGAUAACCUUCUUUUGGCUGCGGCUCUUUAUUUCUGAUCCCCUGUUUCCAACACCUUCUUUUUUAGAGCGGGACCCUUUACUCCUACUCUCCUUAAUGUAGCAGCAAUUGUUGGUUUGCACCCUCAUGGCAUUACCCUUUCAAUGGCCUACAAUCCUGACAGCGUGACCGAUUUUGAGGCCCAUCUUGAUCUAGCUGAUCUAGCUUAUACCAAGUUUAUCCGCCGGUUUGCAGGCCAAUCCCCUGCUCCAGUUACAAAGAAGGAGAACAAAACAUUCCUUCAUUACUGGUUAUGUCAUAACCUUUUCUAUACUCGUUCACAGAAGAUAAAUCGAGAUUUUGUUCCAAUCGUCGUACGUAGGUUGAGCUAACGACAAAAAAUUAGCCUUGGGUGUAUAUUUUCUUGCCUUCGUUUACAGAGAAAUUUUUGAUUCAAUCAAACCAUUGCCGUCCGGAGAGGGUUUAGCAAUUGGUUUUGGUUGUGGUAUUCUCUGGUUUUUGCAAAUGUGUUUGCAAAUUUAUUUUCCUUCUUUGUGCCGAAACCCUUUAGAAAUAGAUUCGGCUCCUCAUUUUGAUAUUUAUGGGUUGGCUCUCGGUUGUCCAAAGCCUAUAUCCUCAGGCCACCCAUAUGAAUUCGGCAAUUAUUUCAAAGUUUUUUAUGAAUCGCGUUCUCAUCGCCUUAUCUCGUGGUCCCCAUUUGCAAAACGCGUCACUUGUCCACCUUGGUUUCUUACUCAAUAUAAAGCCAUCUAGGGUGAGCUGGCCUUUUCUCAGGCCAGCGAAUAUUCAUACGUUUGGUUUUCUUUAUUAGCGGCACGGGAUCUUCACGUUGGGUUGAAAACACGUUCUAAAUUGAUGCCCAGUACUAAAGUUUAUUCUCCUCAGUAUACUGUGCGUCAAUUUGGAUUUGUCCAAGCAAUCCCUGCACCGGCCAAAUUUUUCACGGCCAAUACUGCCGUUAACCAUCCUCCCACUAAGAGCACAGCCGAAGCUGAUCGGCUUUUGACCAUGGGGAAUCAUCUUCGACGCUUCUUCAAAUUAGUAAGCUUUAGGCCGAAUCACACGGGAGUAAUGGGUUUUCAUUUUACAGCAUAUUGGGAUUCUUUUUGUAAGCGAAUCUUUAUUCUGAUAACGCCACACGCGCUUCGUAAGGUUCUUUAUCCGGAAGGUAUGCUGCUUACUAAUUGAUCUAUUUUCAUGUUUAAGUUUCUUCUUCGGCUCAUUUUAUUUAUUUGUAGCAGUCCCUUUUUCAAACAAGGAUAUCUCACUCGAUCCCCCUGCACAAGAAGAAUCAGGGAAAAACUCCGUCGAGAUUCUGAUGAUUUAUCCCGCCCCUCUGUAGUGAUUCUUGCUUUUUCAUUUUUGCCAUCUUUUCUGUACGUAGUUGAUUUGACUCAUUUAUGUAUAUAUAUAUUCUUAUAUACAAUCCAUUCCGGCUACUUCAUCGGUCCCUUGUUCGGAGAAGCGACCGAUUGAAACUGAACAAUCUACUUUUGCGCCGCUCCCAAAGCGGCGCAAAUCAGUUGUGAAGAAGAUCCAUUCCUCAGCUCCUACAGUCGUCGAAGAUGCAUCUUCUGCUGAUGUUCCACCAACAUCUGAGAAAAAUCUUCCUCAAUCAUCUCCAAAUGAACCAAUCUCAGCCGAGGUAAAUCCUCAACAUAUUUUGAUUGACUCCUCUUCUUCUAAUGCUUCAAACGGAUCACCUUCACUUUCUCCUUCGGUAAAACAGACGCUUUUGGGAAGAAGUUCUCGCGUCCGUUUCGCUUCGUCCUUGGGGAAGAAAAUGUCUGAUACUGAAAGACAAGCUCGCCGAGAAGCUCGUCUUGACAAGCGAGAAGCGGAACGAAAACAGGUGAAAUUGAGAAAGAUGUGGAGAAGGCAAGAAAGAAGAAAGAAAUGGAAAAUAUGUCAACUUAGGAGGAAAUUGAAGAUGACAGAGGCGAGGGAGAAAGAAGUGAAAAAGAAGAAGAACUAAAAAGAAGAGAAGAAGAGGAAUAAGGAAAAGAGAAACAGAGUGAAGAGAAACAAAGAGAAGGGGAUAGUAAAGAAAAAGAAAUAGGUAAAGUUUCUCCUUCUGCACCUUCAGCCGAAGCUUCAACAUCGGCCCCUUUACUAGUGUCUAAACCAGCAAACCCGUUGACUGUUUCUAUUCAAGACUUAUUGGCUUCAAGCCCGAAUUCAAAUGAAGAGGAAGACUUCUCUGCCAUUAUGUCGGUUGACACUCAACAAUGAUUAAAUGAGUGCCUAAAAUUGUAUAAUAGCAGUCUUCCUUCUUUGGCUCGGAAUACGGAACAAUUCGAUCGGCUUGGAGCACUCCUGCUUGACCUAGUAGACCAGCUGGAUCUUUCUCCUGCAGGUAAAUGUUUUGCAGAAACCUUGUCCUCUCAACUCUCUUCCUUUUUGUCUCAGCAACAAACCUUUGCCGAGUUCUUAUCUUUGGAUCACCACUUCAGCCGGAUU